rnacentral:lncRNA from 1 species
UCAGUGUACCUGCAAGGGGUGUUUGGGAGGAGGGGGCUAAACUUUAGCCCUGUCACAUCGGAUGUUCGGAUAUUAAUUAGAAGGAUUAAACAUAAGCUAAUUACAAAACUAAUUGCAGAACCCCUAGGCUAAAUCGGGAGACGAAUCUAGCCUAAUUAAUCCAUCAUUAAUGAAUGGUUACUGUAGCACCACAUUGUCAAAUCAUGGACUAAUUAGGCUUAACAGAUUCGUCUCGCGAUUUAACCUCGGAGUUGUGUAAUUAGUUUUGUAAUUAGUCUAGGUUUACUACUCCUAAUUAGUGUCCAAACAUUCAAUGUGAUGGGAAGCUAAAAUUUAGCCCCCUCCUUCCAAACACCCCAGCUCUAUAUCUGCAUCUGAACUUGUAUCUUUGCAUGUUUUGUUUGUGUAUUCGGGUAUCUUUGCACCUGUAUAUUUGAACCUAUUUCAUAUAUAAUAUUGUACCUGAAUUAUUUAUGUCACAAUGUACACUAUUUUCUGCUCCGAAGCUUUCAUUUGGCCAGUAGUUUGCUUUACGCAUUGUGAGAUUGUGAUCUGACGAUUCAGACCUUGUUUAGUUACCUUUUUCCUAACUUUGGCACUAUGGAGAAGAAGAUUUCCCAUCACAUCAAAUUUACGGUACAUGCAUGGAGUACUAAAUGUAGAUGAAAUAAAAAACUAAUUGCACAGUUUUGUUGUACUUUGCGAGAUGAAUCUUUUGAGCCUAAUUAGUUAAUAUUUGAAUAAUAAUUUACAAAUAUAAACGAAAUGCUACAGUUACACAUUUAUAGUAAAAUGCAAAUUUUACUACUCCCAAUUUAGAAAGUCUUAGAAAUUCGUGUGCACCAGAUGCCUCUAAAACACCCGGAUGUCAGAUAGACAGUCCCUCCCAGUUACUUGUGAUCUCGUGCGAUGCGAUACUCUGGUCUUGUUUAGUUGCCCAACUUUGGGUGCUCAAAAUACUGUAGCAACACUGUAGCGUUUCAUUUGUAUUUGUGAAUUAUUGUCCAAAUAUUGACCAAUUAGGCUCAAAAGAUUCGUCUCGCAAAGUACAACAAAACUGUGCAAUUAGUUUUUGAUUUCGUCUACAUUCAGUACUCCAUGCAUGUACCGUAAGUUUGAUGUGAUGAGGAAUCUUCUUUUUGCAUAGUGACAAAUUUAGGAUUUGAGGGUGAACUAAACAAGGCCUCUGCCGUGAUGCAUCCAUCCCAUUGAUUCUUCCCUUUUCCAGUCUCUCCUUGCCUUUGCCUUCAGGCUCUCGCAGUAAAUGCGUUGCAUCAACCACCGGACUGAUCGUUCCACCGAACAUGAGCCUCUCAUGUGUCCCUGUCAGCGGCACAUAAAUGCCAUGGCCGUGCAGGACGGACCGUCGUUUGGUUUUCGGUAACUGUACUGAAAGAAUUUCUCGUUGAUGCCAAUGCUGUACCAGAUAGAUCCACGUGGCCCUUCUGCCAGCUCGUGCUACUAAGGUCUUAGUUUCUAAUUUGGGAGUAGCAAAAUUGACAUUUUGCUAUAAAUACGACACUGUAACGUUUCGUUUGUAUUUGUGAAUUAUUGUCUAAAUAUUGACUAAUUAGGCUUAAAAGAUUCGUCUCGCAAAGUACAACAAAACUGUGUAAUUAGUUUUUGAUUUCGUCUACAUUUAAUACUCUAUGCAUGUACCGCAAAUUUGAUGUGAUGGGAAAUCUUCUUUUUGCAUAGUGUCAAAAUUGGGAGUUGGGGGUGAGGUAAACAAGGGCCAAAUCCCGUGAGAAAUUGAGAAUUCCGUUCCGUGUCGGAAAUUAUGCGUCGCCAACGCCAACCUACGCGGUCCUGAAAGUCUGAAACUCCUUUUGUUUGCGACCCGAUCUCGCGACACAACUUUUGGUUCCCUUCCUUGCCCUCCCCGGCGCUGCGAGGUUAGCUAAAGCUCCAGUGCGAUUAUUGUAUUGUGACAGUGAUCCGCUUUUGGCAGUGUCGCCAUUGACUGCACGGCCGCUGUCCGCCACUACCCCCGCACCACGCCAACAGGCAGCCAUCUUUCGUCUCCUCUCCUCCUCCCGGGCAGGGGCAGCACCGCACAUGCGCCGCGAGUGCGAUGGAUCAUGGAUGCUGUUGCUGCCGCUGCUCCUCCGGUCUGGUCCAGCAUCUUUCAACGGGAGCAGCGGAGCCAGCCAGGAUGCAGCAGAGCCAAUGGGAGGGGUAGUUAGCGCCUCGCAUUCACAUCCUCUCCGUCGGCAGGGCAGCGAAUGAUUGGGUUCGGAUUUGGGCUAGGGACGCCGUGCCGUGCCUUGUCGAUCGCUGCGUGAUUGUUCCUCGAUUCUGCAGUGCAGCCCUGAAGUCUGGAAAGACGGAUGGUUGGGAUGGAAUGGAGCGCCGGCAGCGCCUUUUCUUGCAUCGGGGCUGAUGGUUCUGUGCCGUAAUGGAAUGGUCCACAUGCAUGUAGCUGAUUCGUUAAAAAUUGAGUGCAGCCAAUCCAUUCCGUAAUGUAAUGAAAAGAGAGUGACGUCUGUGUUGGUUACGGGAUGGAGUAUGGCACUGCCGUGAUGCCAUGCGCAUUUGCAUCUCUACCUCUCAUUCAUUUUUCUUCAGCCCCUAUUUUUGGCUGCCGUACGCAGGACACUUCUUUACCAGCUGAUGGUACUGAAACAGGCGGUUGAAUCGGUUGGUCGUGGUCAAGAACUCAAGAUGCGGUUCGCCUAAUCGUGACUCCUUUUCCGACUUCGGCCGUGUGUCAUCAAAGAGGGAAAGGCGCAGGGUGGAGAUCGCGCCUCCGUGGCUUUUUGGCGCCCCCGGAGGAAAGCCGGUGUGCCCGUGCCUUAACGCUGCUUUGCGUAAUUGCGUUAGCUUGCACCCAUCUUGCUUUAAUUUCUUCCUGCGUGCCGCACUGCGUCGGCGUGCAAGCUUUAGCUCCGGUUAGCACGUACCAUCUUGAAUGCAAAUUGCGACGUUACCUCAAGUUCUCACACGAGUUCUAAAACAAAGGAACAUUCUUCUAUCCCCUCGUUUCCAUUCUUACUUUUUUUUCACUUUGGAAUUAAAGGGCUUUUUUAGAUAAGGAAUUAAAGGGCUUUUUUUAGGUCAAGGAAUUAAAGGGCUUUGGGAGUACGGUGUUGCUGCUGCUGCAGACGUGAAAACCUGUCUGCGGAGUGGGGACCGGUGGUAAUCUUUGGGGCCCACAAGAUAGUUGGGACUUCACAGCAACGAUGCGGAUCUUUUGAAGCUUUUCACUCUCCACACUCGUGCCGCAAAGUCUGCCUUGAAGCCACGCAGAUGUCAUGAUUACUGCGUGAGCUAGGUUACUCAUGCCGCUUUGAUCACUGGCCUCGCCAGCAGCGUAGUAGAUGAUGGUCUUGGGUUGGUUCCAACGGAUCAUCCGUAUACUACGGCACCGAUCCUACUCGAGGACUAGCACUCGCAGCUUCCUUUCCCGAAAUUCAUAAUGCUGACGUGAUUGCUGGAUAUCUUUGCUUCUUCCUUUCAUUUGCGCAUGUUCAGCGCCUCAAAUAUUACACCAAUGCAAGCAUGUGCUCAAAUUCACUUCUACAGAUUUGUUUAUCAUCAAAUAUUCAAAGGUUUACUUUUCUAAGGGAUUAGAUCAUGAUUUGCUCUAGCUGGAAUCCCUCCGUUUUUCACGUUAUUAAGCGCUGCCUCCUACCAUUCCUCUUGCUUUAAGCUUAAUCUCUCUAGUCCCAUUCGGUCUAUUCAAGGCCUUAGCUAUAUAUACUCCCUCCAUCCAAACAAACAAGGGUAUGUUCUAAGUUAAACUUUCUUAUUAGAGUAUCUCCAGCAAUGUCCCAAUGAAUGUUUCCCAAUAACUAAUUAAUAGGGAUAUCCCAAUAUCACUUUCACAGUUAUUGUGAGCCUUGCUUCCAAUAAUCUCAUCUCAAUCCAACUACCGUAUUGGAAGAGUCACAACUCCUACUUUAUUUAGUGAGAGUUGGAAUGAAUUAUUAGGAUGUCCCAAUAAUUAUUGGAAAAAAGGAAAAAUUAAAGGAAGACUGCUGGAGUACUAUUUUCUUAUCAACUCUCCCAAUAUGAUAGUUGGAUUAGGGAAAUGGAGACUGCUGGAGAUGCUCUUAACUUAGACCAAAUUUAUAGAGAAAAAUAUCAAUAUUUAUGACAUCAAAUAGAUAUCUUAUGAAAACAUAUCUCAUAAUAAAUCUAAUGACACUUAUUUUGUACCAUAAAUAUUUAUAUUUUUGUAUAAACUUGAUCAAACUUAAAAGAGUUUGACUUAACACAAUCCUAGAAUGAUUUGUUCUUAGAUGGAUGGAGUAUAGUAGCCUGAGCAGAUAUUUGAAGCCACUUUUCAGUCAGGCUCGACUCAUACGUCAGGUGUACACUGUGAGACAUACAACACUACUUUGUGUUGUUAGGUUGCCCAUCUGCAAGUUGCCGAUUUUAGACUCCGUGUGCUGCCAGCCUCGAACGAGCUCCAUGAAACAUGGCUUUGAAAAUUUUUCAAAUUCCACUGACCUUAGUUAGUUAGUUGGAGCAUCCGUGGUGCUCCCGCGCAUGUGGAUGUUAGAACACAUGACGGGAUUUGAAACCGCAUGGUUUAUUAAAGAUAAACCCGGUCAAAACCCAACAAGAACUCAUCACAAUAGUAACAAAGCAGCUCCAAUCUCCCAAUUAAGAUGAACCUCAAGUUUGGUCUCCAUGUCAUCACAUCCACACACACAACAACCAUCAAGACAACAGUGAGAAGAAUCUUGUAGCACAUCAUCGAUACCGAUCUUCAUGGCACUAUGGAGUAGGAACUCAAACUCCACAUCAGCACACUUAGUCCAUAUGUGCCAAAUGUCUGUAUCAAAGUGUGAAGGAAUCUCCAUAAGUCACUAAGCCUUCUCGAAAGUCGAAACAUCCAAGCCCUGCCCUAUUGACUAGCCUCUAAGAGUCAUAAGCCCCAAUUUUUAUUAUGACAAGCGGGACCUACUUGUAAGUGUCUCGUCUCUUUUUUUUUCUUAUCCAUUUCCACCUGCUGCCCCGCUACCCCGCGUUCCUCUUUCUCACGUAGCGUCUCUUCGGUCUACUCCGCUGCAUCCCCUUCAUCAAGCCUUCUUCCUCUCGCUAGCGAUGCGGAGCAAGGGAAGGCAAGGGAUUCCAGCAGCUUGCUCAGGGUGCUCGGGCUCCGGUGGAGAACCUCGUGGCCCAUGGAGGAGUUCGGAUCCCGGUGAAAGAACUCGAGCCGAUGCUGUGCAAAAUCCAUGGCAUAUGUCGAAUCCGCCCACCAUGACAUUGAAUCCGACCUCCAAGAGUGUUGAAUCAGACCACCACGUUGUCAAAUCAGACUUCCGUGGCGUCAAAUUGAGGAGCUAUAGCUUAGGGAGGUGGCGUGAUGCAAGAGGAGUCUAGAGCUUAGGUUCCUUGCUUGCACAUUCAUUUUGGCUACUUUGUUUCCUCACAUAUUUUAUUUCAUUGUUUCAUUUUCUCAUUGAUUUGUCUUGCUUUGAUGCUUCCGUGAAUUACAACCCGAUACGCUAGGGAUGCGGAGGUGGAGCAAUGCAAUCCUUGGGGCCUGUUCGGCUAUAGAUUCAGGCAGGCAGGAUGGCAGAUGCGAGCGGGCGACGGUGAAAUCGAGCCGGCAGCGAGUGAAUUGGCUGCUAGCUGGCCAUCACAGUCGAGAAGGCCGGCAGGGCGUAGGGAGAAGUGGUGAGCUAGAGAGGGGAACAUGCGUGCACGGGUGAGAAUAGAAAAAAAAGUGGCCGAGUAGGGACCUCCCUUCCCACCUGUGAGAGAAGGGGCUGGAGAGGGUGAUUUGGGUGCCUUCCUACUCUAGGGACCCGAGUAGGGACCUUGUUGGAGCUGUGUUUUUUUGCCCUCGAUUCCUACUUUUUGAGUAGGGACCUGAGUAGGGAUUUUGCUGGAGUUCUUCUAACACCACCAUUUGUUAACUAUCAGAACCAGAUCAGAGGGAGGAGGGGAGAAGAGAGGGAUGGGAAUGAGCUGUGACGAUGAGCACCAUGCCUGGCUACUGCCACCACUAUCUAAGGCAUAUGUGGCAGCCCCACUUGUCGAAGUUACAAAGGUGCGGUCACGUGGAGGUAACCGUUCUGUGGCCUUGGCAAGAUGGCAUGGGUAUGCUUGUUUUAUCAUGUUAUACUGUAGAAUAUGAUUGUGUACAAUUGAUUGAUCAUAAUAUCUCUAAUAUUGAUUUUAUCUUCUUUAUAAGAUUGUUUGUGAUUAUUAAGAGAAUCGUAGGCUAAUACAAAACAACAUCUUUGCUAUAUUCAUCAUUGUGCACAAACCGAAAUAUAACAACAUAUAUGGCCAUAUGCCUAGGGGUAGUAAAGGGUUCUCUAAUUUAGCAUAGCAAAUUUAAGGAUUGCGCUCAAUAAGAGUUGUGCUAUAAUAUUAUAUGAUUCUGAACUAAAAAUAUAAAGGGCUAAGUUGAACUGUGAAGGAGGCAUAGGGCCAUGAUUCGUUGCCACCUCUAACCGUGACGGAGCCUGACAGAUAGAUAUACGCUAGUAGUAGUGGGAUGCUGAAAUGAUUGUUCGGGGCAGAUAGAUACACUAGAGUAUAGUUAGGGGAUCGGAAGAAAUAGAAAACAAAAGUAGUAGUAAUCUCUAGUGAUCCUGAGUCCUGACGGCAUCUUUGUUCUUCUAUUGGCUCAUCAAUUUCUAGGGCCCUGCAAUGCCUUGCAUGCCAGCACAGUAAGUACAACUGGUUCGCACUGUAUCAAACCCGAGCGAGAGCCCACAACUCACAGUCAUGUUCUACACGCAACUAGGAUGGGAGGGACCAGGGUCUAUUGUAGUAUACAGGCCGUUCGGCAGCGCUAGCUGCCGCUGCUGGCUUCUGCUGCCAGCGGCUGCAGCGCAGCUGCUAGCUGCUGCUUGUGGCUUCAGCUGAGCAGCGGCAGGAGAACCAGCUGGGCAGCGGUGCUAGCUGCUACUUAGGAAUUUUCGGCAUGUUUUCCCUACGGAUGCGCUGCUACGUUUCAAAUUUAAAUUUGUAACGGUUAAAGGAUGUACAACAUUCAAAUUUUAUCGCGCAAACAUAACCAACACAAUGGAGGGUACGAACGUACACAACAACUACUACAAUUGCUUACAUACAAAUUACAACAUUAACAUACACAACAUACACCCAUCAUUUAUAUCAAAGAGAUUCCCGCAGCAAUCCAAUCUCAUACACUGGCCAUAUCAGGAGUAGCAUUUGCUGCCACCCAUUCGGACACCCCAUAGUCAGGAGCUCGCGCCAUGUUCGAACCUGCAGUACUUGCAUCGGCAAGGUCCAUCAAAUAAUUAUGGAGCGCGAAGCAAGCAAUAACAAGCUUCGUUUGCCGCUCUCGAGAAUAUAGUGGAACUUCCCGCAGAAUGUGCCACCUGGAUUUGACCACGCCAAAUGCGCGUUCGACCACAUUGCGAAGACUGGAAUGGUGAAAGUUGAAUUUCUCCUCCAAUGUGUCCGCCGAUCUUCUGCUAAACUCCUCCAAAUGGUACCUGGUAUUCCGAUACGGCCCCAGAUACCCUUCUUGAACUGCAUAGCCCGAGUCGACCAAAUAAUAUCGGCCUACAGAUAAUCAAAAAUAUUCAACAUUAGUGCACCACAUUUUGCAAUUGCAGCGUCAUAUGCGUAAUUAGUCAAGUACCAUACCUGCAGGUGGAUGAGGGUAGUUCGGUGCCGCCAUACAAUCCCGCAACACCGCCAUGUCAUGAUAGAAUCGUGCCCUCCCCACUUCUACAUACGUGAAGCGCAUGUCCAUAUCGACUAUAGCUAACACAUUGAAGUUUGUCCACCCUUUUUUGUUAAUAAAAUCCAAACAGGACUCACGCCCGACCAGUACGGGAAUAUGUGUACCGUCUAGAGCACCUAUGCACCCAUCAAAGAACGGUGCAUAUUGGUUCAGCUUAUGAUUCACCUUAGAGUAAGCAGGAUCCAUUGGACCAAUGACUGUCUGGGAAAAUGAAAACAUUACAUUUGCCACAUGCGCCAUCUUCCUACUAACUGUGUCCAAACUCCGGUCAAAUCUUUCUCUAAUUUGACGGCAAGCCUGUUGUGUCGCACACGCCCACACGAACAUACCUAAAGCCUCAAUAGAUUCUACCCCUUGCGACGUUUUCAAUCCAUGAUUGGUAACCAACAUGUCAUGCAACUGAAGGAACGUGUCGGGAUACAUACGAAAAUUAUCGAAGCACCGCCGCUUGUCCCGUAGAUUGAGCUCAACCCAUUGCCGUCCCAUCAUGCGUGGUAGGUCAACUGGCGGGUUCUGCACAGGACGCUGCCUCCUGUUCACCUCCGCAUAUGCGGCUGCAGCUCCUGCUAAACACUUUAGAUCAAACACGGAGCUGUUGUCGCUGCCGGUGUCACUGUUUUGUUCCUCUGCACUACUCAUACUUGAUUGAACCUGUGCAUGCACAAUCGGAGGGGCAUCAGCAAACACACCUUAUACAUAGGUAGUUGCACCGAAUUAGACAUAUGCAUUUGUUUCGAACCUGUCAAGUGCCAGUGAAGUUGCCUCUCCACCUUACUUGAGCUGCCGCAGAAUUAAACCAAUCCUCCUGCUACUGAUGAGCGGAGGGCCUCCAAUGACCUACUGAACUACCUAUCCAAAAGGUUAAGACAAGAGACAUCAAAAUUCCAAAUAACUUCAAAGCAAUCUGUUCUGACACAAGAUAAAAAAUUUCUGACACAAGUAGACUGAUGUACUGAGAUGACAUUAAACUAGAAAGAAACGACAGUAAAUUUGAAAGAAAGUACUGAUCCAAAUGCAACAUUUCACUUCACAGAAAUUUAGUGAUCAUGACAUUUAACUUGAAAUAAAUUGCUGAGCAUGGAUGCCAUCAAACUUGAAAGGAAUUUAACUAGCACUAAAACGAAAUGUUCAACGAACAAGACAUGUUACAUAAGCUAACAUUACUGUUCCGACACAAGUGCAAAUAUUAUUUUUGAAACCCAUCAGUACACAUCACUAGAAUAAAAUAAAGUCAUGCCACAAUCACUACUUGUUCAACAUGUCCCAGUUGAAUUGUAUCCAGUUCAGUCGGCCCUCUUUCGUUUUCCUCUGCAUGAACGCCGUCCGAUACUCCGGAUUCUUAGUACAUAAAUAAAGAUCCUGGUAGUAAAGCGGAGACCCCUCCUGUAGACCAUCUUCUACCAGGAGCUGCAUUGCAUGGACCAUUUCCCCCCGGGCACGGUCAACACGUUGCUGGCUCCUUUUUGCCACACUGUCAGAAAGCUCCCUGAUGUACUGCUCCAAGCUGCCACUUCUCUUUUUCCUAGGACUGUCCACAGAGAAUUCCUAGGCCGUCUGUUUGGACAUGUCUCGAGCACUACUAGCAGGUAGGGGGUCCUGGUCCAAGUCCGCUGCAUUGCCCUCAGUCCCCACACUAGGUGUCGCCUCACGAAUACCUCCUGCCGUCAGCAAGGUGCCCCUGUCUUGGGGUUCAUGGCCAAAGAACUCAAACAAUUCUUCGAGGAAAGGUGGAGGCUUAACAGAACUCGGCUGGGACCUCGACGAGGGAGCACCACCACUGGUGUCCUGCAAUGUUCAAGCAACAGUACAUGUUCAAGGCCAAAAACAGAAAUGUACAAAUAAGAUGCCGAGUAACUUAUGGGCCUGUCAUAGGACGUACCUCUUCGUCCUCCUCCCAAUAGGUGGGAUCAGCAGCAACACCAUCAGUUUGUGUGUCACGCCCUAAACCAAAUUGGUUUUGCAAGGCCGUCCAGCUCAGGAAUGUUCUCCUCAGGUUUUUGAGCUUGUUCUGCUACUGGUUGCUACCCAAAUGCAAUCCAGUCUGUUCCCUGAAGCUGUGGUACACGUUCUUCCAUCCCAACUUAGUGAGGCAUCUAUUGCUCCAAUUGAACUGGUUCUUCUGAGCAAUGCACAAGUCCAACAAAGUUUUCAUCGUGCCCUCAUCCCAGCUGGCACGGUUAUUCAUCUGAGUACACAGGAGCUGCAAUUAUAUUGCACCGAAGUACGGAUAACCAAGAGGCAUACAACUAGACAAUCUCAGCAUCAAUAGAUAUGUUACUUGCCUUAGCAGUUGUCUUGGCGCGUUUGUGGUGGAAAUUGUACAGGCACACCGGUUGGGGAGAGCAUGACGAAGUCGAUGAUGAGGCCAGUGUGGGCACUGUUGGUACUUCCUCGCGGUUGGCCUGCUAGUAGGCUUGUAUCAGUCACCUGGAAAGGAGAAAAAACAAAAAACAAACACAUCAAUUUAGUUGUAGACAAAUUUGGGACAGAACCAAGUACACAUACAUUUCAUGCUCAUGGUCUCUAGUAUGAUCAAACAUUUCUACCAAUAAGCUGCAAUUCCCAAUGAUUAUAGGAUGAAUAACAUGCCUACCAAUAAAAUUCUGCCCAAAUGCCUGAAGAUAUUCAUCCUAGUACAACCAACCAGUAAGAAUUUACACAUAACUAAAACAGCACCCCAUUUUUCUACUUAGCACAGUGAAAGGCACCAAAAGGGUCCAUAUUUAGUGGAAGGGUAAAAUUCUCAUGGUCCUAAGUAUAGAAGCAAAGAUUGCCCAAAUAGUUAUGAUAUAGAUGACAUAUGAAGUAUCAUGAUCAGAAACUCUCCCGAAGUAAGUAGUCUGAUUCUCUAGGAACAUUAGCUGUCUGAUUCACCCAACAUUAGCAGUCUUUUGCCGUGUUGAUUCUCUAGGAACAUUAGCAGUUUGAUUCUUCCAACAAAUUGAUAACAAAAGACCAAAGUAAAUAGAAAUUUAGAGAAAUACAAGUUUGGAUCAUAUUGCCAGGCUUCCUAAUUCUUUCAAAAAGACAAGCAUCACACUGAACAAAAUAUAUUACCAAUGUCACUGACCAACACCAAUAGAUGCAUCACACUAGCAAUGAAAUCGCGGCCCCAUGCUUGACCCACCCCAAAUCUACAUGAAUUCGAUGGGGGAGCACCAUUACCUGCGAGUGAAGGGGACGGAGGGGGCAACGGAGUUGGAGAAAUUCCUUCCACUAGGUGAGCGCGGCGACCGACGGGAGCGAUAGCGGUGUCACGUGGCUGAGCAUGAGGGAGCGGGCGACGCGACGGCCCACCAGCGGCGGAUAGCGGGCGCGAGCGAGGGAGCAGGUGAGCGGAGGGAGCGGCGGCCGCGGAUCCGGAGCGAGCGCGAUCGAUGAAGUGGGUGAGAUGCGGGAGCGACGGCGGCGUCACGCGGCCGAGCACGAGGGAGCGGGCGACGCGACGGCCCGCCGGCGGCGGAGAACGGGCACUAGCGAGGGAGCGGGUGAGCGGGAACGGAGGGGGCGAGACACGGGGGCGACGGCGGGGGCGAGAUGCGGGAGCGGCGGCGGCGGAUCCGGAGCGAGCCUGACUGACGGAGGGGGCAAGAUGCGGGAGUGACGGCGGCGUCGCGUGGCCGAGCGCGAGGGAGCGGGCGACGCGACAAACCACCGGCGGGGGAGAGCGGGCGCGAGCGAUGAUAGAGCUGGAGUGCCCGAUCUUUCGGUGAGAGGGAUAACUUCGAUUUGUGGAGGAGGUGACUCUUGCGAUCCGACUACAAACAAACAGGUCGUGGCGCCUUAGCAAUCGCUGAACCAACUCCAAAUGGUUAUUGACCUUGCUGAUGGCAAGAUCAACCUGAACACGAGGUUCUAUUCCUGCAAGCAAUCGAAAAACAAGCAAGAACAAGAUGAAGGCAAAACUGAAUAUCAAUCACUCAUGAAUUGGGGUUCACAAUGGCUGUCCACAGGUGGCUGCUGAGCACAACUGCAGUACAGGACGUUUGCACAAUGGCUAAACUUAUCAAAGAAAACCCGCCAAAGCAAGGGGGUGUGAGCAGGACUAAAUAGGAGAAAGGUGGGAAGGGAAUUUCGUCCAGCAUGAAUGGGUGGCUGAAAUCCCCACCUAACCUUUCUAAAAUAGCUACGUAGUACAUGGAAACAAUCUUUCCAAAAGAUAGGUGGCGCAGCACCCUUUAUUGGCUUCCAUAGAUGGCGUUCAGGUUGUCAUUCCUGGACAGAAUCUUCUUCUUCAUUCCUUAAAAGGAUCACAUAAUUCAGGUCACGUGCACGGGCUCGCGUUAUUGGACCUUGAAAUGUUUCUGGAUUUGGUGUAGUGGGAAGUGACGUCGGUGCUGGUUCCGUUGGAGUAGCAGGUCCUGUGUAGGGGUUGAUGUCCUCAUCAUCCUCCCCUUUUUGAAUCGAAGUCGUCCUCGACGGUAUCUGCUCAUUCUCGCCCACAUAUGGUUUUAAAUCUGCAACAUUAAAGGUAGAAGAAACACCAUAUUCUGCAGGCAGGUCGAGUAUAUAGGCAUUAUCAUUAAUUUUCUUCAGCACCUUGAAUGGGCCAUCAGCACGGGGCAUCAGCUUAGACCUGCGCAAAGUAGGAAAACGUUCCUUUCGCAAAUGCAACCAGACCAUGUCACCAGGUUCAAAAGUAACAAGUUUCCUACCUUUACUACCAGCAACCUGAUUUUUAGCAUUAGUAUGAGCUAUGUUAUGCUGUGUUUGUGCAUGGAUUUUGAACAUUAAUUCAGCACGUGCAACAGCAUCUACAUGUUGUUUAUCCGGAGAGGAAAUAGACACUAAAUCAAUGGGUGCCCGGGGAAUGAAACCAUAGACAACCUGAAAAGGGCACAUUUUUGUGGAGGAAUGCAAAGAACGGUUGUAAGCAAACUCAACAUGAGGCAAACAAUCCUCCCAAAGUUUCAGAUUCUUAUCUAACACAGCCCGAAGCAUGGUGGAUAAAGUUCGGUUAACAACCUCCGUUUGACCAUCGGUUUGUGGGUGACAAGUGGUGCUGAAAAGUAAUUUAGUACCCAAUUUGUUCCAAAGUGAUCUCCAAAAAUGGCUAAGAAAUUUAGCAUCGUGAUCUGAAACUAUUGUAUUUGGUAAACCAUGUAAACGAACAAUCUCACGAAAGAACAAAUCAGCAACAUUGCUAGCAUCAUCACUCUUAUGACAUGGUAUAAAGUGAGCCAUUUUGGAGAAUCUAUCAACGACAACAAAAAUGCUAUCCCGCCCCUUCUUAGUUCGAGGUAACCCCAAAAUGAAAUCCAUAGAAAUGACCAACCAAGGAGAAGUAGGAACAGGGAGGGGCGUGUACAAACCAUGGGGAUUCAGGCAGGACUUAGCUUUUUGGCAUGUGGUGCAACGUGCAACAAAUCUUUCCACAUCACGUCGCAUCUUUGGCCAAAAGAAGUGAGCUGCCAGGAUGUCUUCUGUUUUCUUAACACCAAAAUGGCCCAUGAGGCCGCCUCCAUGUGCUUCCUGCAACAGCAAAAGGCGAAUCGAGCUUGCUGGAAUACACAGUUUGUUAGCACGGAAUAAGAAUCCAUCAUCCGUGUAAAACUUUCCCCAACCUUUACCAGCCUUGCAUUGUAACAGUACGUCCUUGAAAUCAGGAUCAAGAACAUAUUGUUCUUUCAUGGUUUGGAGGCCAAAAAUUUGGAAGUCAAGUUGCGAGAGCAGGGUGUAACGACGAGACAAAGCAUCAGCAAUAACAUUUUCUUUCCCUUUUUUGUGUUUGAUGACAUAAGGAAAAGAUUCAAUAAAUUCAACCCACCUAGCAUGUCUACGAUUCAGAUGCGUUUGACUACGAAUAUGUUUUAAAGAUUCAUGAUCUGAAUGAAUAACAAAUUCGCGAGGCCAUAAGUAAUGUUGCCAUGUUUGUACGGUGCGAACCAACGCAAAAAGUUCUUUGUCAUAAGUGGAGUAAUUCAGACUAGCACCACUCAGUUUCUCGCUGAAAUAAGCAACCGGUUUACCCUCUUGCAGCAGCACUCCACCUAACCCAAUGCCGCUAGCAUCACAUUCAAGUUCAAACAUUUUUGUGAAAUCAGGAAGUUGCAGCAAGGGUGCGUGGGUUAGCUUAUCUUUUAGAACCAUGAAAGCCUCUUCUUGCGGUUGUCCCUAGGAGAAAGGCACACCCUUCUUUGUGAGUUCAUGUAGUGGUGCAGCAAGGGUGCUGAAAUCACGAACGAAACGACGAUAGAAACCAGCAAGCCUGAGGAAGCUUCGAAUCUGCGUCACCGAGGUGGGUGUUGGCCAGCUUUGUAUAGCAUCAAUCUUGUUGCUAUCCACCUCAAUGCCCUGCGAUGUAACAACAUAUCCAAGAAAAGACACACGACUUGUGCAGAAACUGCACUUAUCCAAGUUCCCAAAUAGGUUGGUAGCACGUAAAGCAUCAAAAACAGCACGUAGGUGAUCCAAAUGUUCCUCCAUAGAUUUACUGUAAAUCAAGAUAUCAUCAAAAUAGACAACCACAAACACCCCUAUGAAGGCCCGCAAAACUUCAUUCAUUAAACACAUGAAUGUGCUGGGAGCAUUAGUUAAACCAAAAGGCAUGACUAACCAUUCAUAUAACCCAAAUUUGGUUUUGAAAGCUGUUUUCCAUUCAUCCCCCAAUUUCAUGCGAAUCUGAUGGUACCCACUACGCAAAUCAACCUUAGAGAACACAACAGCGCCACUGAGCUCAUCAAGAAUAUCAUCUAAGCGAGGUAUAGGGUGCCUAUAUCUGAUUGUAAUAUUGUUAAUAGCACAGCAAUCGACACACAUGUGCCAAGAGCCAUCUUUCUUUGGUACCAAAAGAACAGGGACGGAGCAGGGGCUAAGAGACUCACGAAUGUAACCUUUGUCAAGCAAUUCUUGCACUUGUCGCUGAAUCUCUUUUGUCUCAUCUGGAUUGGUACGAUAGGCAGCACGGUUUGGCAAUGGAGCGCUUGGGAUGAGAUCAAUCUGAUGUUCAAUGCCACGAAUGGGAGGAAGGCCAGUUGGGACCUCCUUUGGAAAAACAUCCGCAAAGUCCUGCAAAAGCUUAGUAACAGCAGGGGGUAUAUCCAAAAGUGCAGUGUCAUCAAGUGAAACCAGCACAUUAGUGCACAUGAGAGCAUAGCAAAGUGAAUUGGGAACAGCCAACUCGUUCAAAUCAGCUAGUGUAGCGAGUAAAACAGGAGCAUUCAGUUUGAUUUCAUUUUGUAAAUUUGGUUGUGCACUUGGUUUGUGAUCUCUAGUGGCCCGAGCAAGGUCAUCUUUUAAAAUCUGUUCAGGUGACAUUGGAUGAAAAAUAAUUUUCUUGCCCUUAAACAUGAGUGAGUAUUGAUUUGUGCGACCAUGGUGCAUGCUAUCAGUAUCAUAUUGCCAAGGUCUACCUAGCAGCAAAGAACAUGCUUCCAUCGGAACGACAUCACAAUCAGCAUAAUCAUGAUAGGAGCCCAUAGAAAAAUGAACACGUACCGAGCAUGUUACCUUCAGUUUUCCACCCUGGUUGAGCCAUUGAAUGUGGUACGGAUGUGGGUGUGUCCGAGUUUGAAGGGACAACUCUUCUACCAGAUCCGUACUUGCCAAGUUAUUGCAACUGCCGCCAUCAAUGAUGAUGCGAAUCGAUCGUUCUUGCACAACGCCUUUGGUGUGAAAUAAGUUGUGUCGCUGGUGCUGUUCUGGUUGUGCAACCUGCGUACUGAGGACACGCUGCACUACAAGGCUCUCAUACUUGUCGGCAUCAACAGCAACAACAUGUUCCUCCUCCUCAUGUCCUGAAAUGUUAGUGGCAAGCAUAACAUAUGUGGGAUCAUCCAAAUCACUACCAGAAGAGUACUCACCAUCCUCACGUACAAUCAACACACGCUUGUUGGGGCAGUCACGAAUAACAUGGCCAAAGCCUUUGCAGCGAUGGCAUUGGAUGUCCUUGGUGCGCCUAGUGGAAGAAGAAGAGGACCGUGUUGGGGUAGGUGCGGAUGGAGUCUUUGUCGCUGCCGGAUCACGCGAGGUGAUGUUGUGUGGUGAGGGUGCAGCUGAUGAUGAGGCAGCUGAUGAUGAGGCAGCCACAGGUUUAGUGGCUGGUUUGAAGGAGGUGGUGCGACAUGCAAAGGAGUGAGCAUGUGUCCUCGUUUGGCAUCCCUGCACUUCUCAUUCAGCAAUACAAGCAAGAUGGAACAACCGAGUAAUGGUAUUGUACUCCUUAUAAUCAAGCACAAUCUGAAUUUCGCGGUUCAGCCCACCCAAAAAUCGUGCCAUAGCUGCAUCAUUAUUUUCAACUAAACCACAACGAAGCAUCCCAAUUUGCAAGUCCUGAAAAUAUUCCUCAACGGACUUGCUACCUUGCUGUAACCGCUGUAAUUUAUUAAGCAUAUCGCGUGCAUAGUAGGAAGGAACAAAUCUAUGUCGCAUGAGAACUUUCAAAGCAGCCCAAGUGGGUGGAAUUUGAGUGGGGUGUUUGCUGCAAUGUUCACGCCACCAAAUUGAAGCAAAAUCCGUAAACUCGCUAGUGGCAGCCCUAACUUGGUGUGGUUCAGGGAUAGCAUGGCAUGCGAAUUUUUGAUCAACCGCAAUUUCCCAAUCAAGAUAAGCAUCAGGAUCAUAUUUUCCAUUAAACGUUGGUACGGUGAAUUUAAUCUUGGCAAAAGAGUCAUCCUGAUUACGUACCACACGGCGAGGCCCUCGCGUCCGACGAGGCUGGCCAGGAUCUUCUUGCUCGGUAUCACCACAAUAAUCAAAGCCAGCCCGUGCAUCAGCAAGUUGCUGGACUAAUUCGUCGAGACGAGUCAUGAUGGUGGCAAGGCUGGUGUUGGUGGAGGCUUGUGCUUGCUGUAGUUCCCUGAGCGUUGUACCUGUGGUCAGCUGAGUGGUUUCAAAUUGGCCAAGGCGCUCAUUAGUGACCCGAACAUCUUCUGCAAGGUCAUCCACGUGCUUGUUCAUUAGGCGAUCAAAGUGCUGGAUGAUGCGUUUGAAUCGAGAGGAGUGUGGUAUGGCAUUCGGGUCCUCUUGCUCAUCCGCAGAUCCUGCCAUGAUUAGUGCCAAAAAAAACAAGGGAGAACACGAAAUAAAGGAAUAUGUCCUACGCCUACUGGGAUGUGGUGCUGAUCAGAUCACUCAAACUAAAAGCCGUUACCAAGCCCUUACCCAUUCUUACCAUGCAAACAGGGGUGACCUGCAACCAGCGGUGCAACCGAUGAAGCUUGGAUAGAGCGAUUGCUAGAGGACACAACCUACACGCUGUAGAAAAUUUGUGUAGCUAUGGGAAGGCUUCAAUUUGUAGCAAGGAUUAGCACCAGCAUUCAGCAAAUGCAAAGUUGAAUAAUUACUCAAAGCUGGUGUUGUGCUGGUCCUAGGCUAGACCGUACUAGAGACGUGAGCCCACGCACAAAGAUAGUCACAGAAUUGCAAGAACAAAGAGUAAAAGACAACGAGUACACACCCUUGGCUUCUCCUUUUUUUUGUUUUUUUUUUGGUGUGGCUCUUUUGUUUUUUUAUGCACCUCUGGCCUUUUUUAGUUUGAUGACACUGCCAACACGUUGCACAACUCAAAAGGAAACAAAAGGAAAUCAGGAACUCUUUCCUUUCGUGUAGCCAUAGACUGCCUAAGCUCUCACGAUCUGCUGUGAUACGCCCAAAAUGAAUCGAUAGGCAAGCGAGUAUCCGUUGGAAAGGGCACGAAAUAUUCUUUCCAAAUUGUACCUAAACUUCCCAAACGGACUACGGAUGCAACAACUAAGGUCUGUUUCCUUGCCGAGAUAAAUCAAGACCUGAAAUAAAUUACUUUCCUUUUGUAGGUGGAAAUGUGGCGUGCACAAGGGGUCUAUGACGUGGGAAAGAUUACAGGAACAAGGAAGACAAAGAAAAAGGAUGAUCAAGUGCAAAGAUGUGAACUAAUACAUGACAGGAACUCAAAACUCUAAAGGACUAGACGCCAAGACCAGCAACAUGACACAGCGAUGCAACCAAAAACUCAACAAAGCAAUAAACUGAAUGAAAGAUGCAAAGGCUCAAAAGGUCUUGGACAGUGGUUCUAACCUGAAACUUUUUUUUAUUUUUGGUGGCUUUUCUGGUGGACGAUAGGACGAUGAACAAAACUACAAAUAAAGGGGGUAGAUCUCACCGAACAACCUGAAACCUGAUACCACUUGAUAGAGCUGGAGUGCCCGAUCUUUCGUGAGAGGGAUAACUUCGAUUUGUGGAGGAGGUGACUCUUGCGAUCCGACUACAAACGAACAGGUCGUGGUGCCUUAGCAAUCGCUGAACCAACUCCAAAUGGUUAUUGACCUUGCUGAUGGCAAGAUCAACCUGAACACGAGGUUCUAUUCCUGCAAGCAAUCGAAGAACAAGCAAGAACAAGAUGAAGGCAAAACUGAAUAUCAAUCACUCACGAAUUGGGGUUCACAAUGGCUGUCCACAGGUGGCUGCUGAGCACAACUGCAGUACAGGAUGUUUGCACAAUGGCUAAACUUAUCAAAGAAAACUCACCAAACCAAGGGGGCGUGAGCAGGACUGAAUAGGAGAAAGGUGGGAAGGGAAUUUCGUCCAGCAUGAAUGGGUGGCUGAAAUCCCCACCUAACCUUUCUAAAAUAGCUAUGUAUUACAUGGAAACAAUCUUUCCAAAAGAUAGAUGGCGCAGCACCCUUUAUUGGCUUCCAUAGAUGGCGUUCAGGUUGUCAUUCCUGGACAAAAUCUUCUUCUUCAUUCCUUAAAAGGAUCACAUAAUUCAGGUCACGUGCACGGGCUCACGUUAUUGGACCUUGAAACGUUUCUGGAUUUGGUGUAGUGGGAAGUGACGUCGGUGCUGGUUCCGUUGGAGUAGCAGGUCCUGUGUAGGGGUUGAUGUCCUCAUCAAGCGAGGGAGCGGGUGAGCGGAGGGAGCGACGGCGGUGGAUCCUGAGCGAGAGAGAGCGACGGAGGGGGCGAGAUGCGACGGAGGGGGCGUAUGUGGCAUCAGUGGAUGAGGACGGGAGGCGAGAGGGAUUUGGGAGCGACGGGCAUUGGUGGAGCAGCCGCUCGAACGGCUACUCUGAAGUGCUCCGAACGGCUGGGCUAAAAAGCCCAACCGGAAAAAGCCCAGCGCAGCAGCAGAAGCCCACCGAACGAGCUGACGAAUGAUGCAGCAGCCUGUGGGUGUUUGUUGAUCAAAGUACUAACCAGCAGAUGCAUGAUCUGCAUGUGUGAUGCAGCUCCCAGGAUUUUAGGAUCACCUGCAAACAAAACGGUAUGAUGGAUAACAAACAUGUUGGAACUAGACCUUCGACGGACACCAGUAGAGAUGACACCAGUAGAGAUCUGACCUUCCAUCUAUGUAUUUUUGUCCUAGUUAAUAUUAGACUCAUGACUAAAGUACCUUUAGUUCCGGGUCAAAAAUGUGCCAUCAAAGGUCACCGCGGGGGUGCUUAAAGAUCCCCUUUAAUCCCUAUUGUAAUGGCUAAAAAAUCUAGUAUCGACGCCCCCCUGUCCCCCGGUACAAAAGCCCCCCUAUCCCAGUUCGUAAUUCCAACCGGGACUAAAUCUUUUAUCCCGAUUGGUGGCUCCAAUUGGGACAAAAGUCCCUUCCCACGCUCCCUUCUCUCUCCACAUUAAUAUCUUCUCCUCACACCGGCGCAGAUCCCCUCUCUCUCGUUUUCCUUAUCCUCGCGCAUAUUUCCUGAACUGGCACCUCCUCCCCUCCCUCUCCUCCUCUCUCGCGCAGAUCUCCUCCACCGGCACCCCUCCCCUCCCUCUCUUCCCCUCCCACCCCCUCCCCCUCUGCUGCCCCUCCCCUUCCCCCUCUGCUCGCCCCUCAUUGGCAGUGGGGCAAGGGUGGACGGCAGCGCGCAGGGUAGCGGAGGCGGCCCCGCGAGCGAGCGCGGCUGGGCGGCGAGCGACUGAGCGGCGAUGGGCACGGGCCGGCGGCACGGAGCGGAGCAGCGCCGAUGGUGCGGGGCGGGGCGGAGUGGGGUGGAGUAGCGCCCGUGGGUGUGGGCCCGGCGGCGCGGAGCGAGCUUUUUUUAUUUUUUUAACCCCUUUUAUCUCAAAAAUUUAGUUCCAGUUAGAUAUUCAGGAUCUAUGGUCCUAUCCAACCGCGACUAAAGCCGAGUUUUCCAUCAGUGGGUACCUCUUAAUGAUGAACCACCGGACACGUUGGAGUUAGUGCUUUGAGGGCACUACUAGGAUGAGGCUUCUUGUGCAUUCGCUGUACAUUCUGAAUGCCCACAUUAUCAACAAACCAAUCAAAGAAUUUCGCAUUGCGUCUGAGCAAACUGCACCUAAACUGUGCUACCUCCCUCAUCAUCUGAGCAUUGUGCAUCUUGAAGUGGUCAAGUACAUAGUGCUUCGCCUUCCAGUAUUGAAUACAGCGCAUAAAUAAUAGUGAAAACCACGGGUAUGAUGAUCGAAAAUAAAAUGACAUUGAUAGGGCAGGUGCUCACCAGGGAAGGGUGUUUUGCUUGGAUGUACAACCCAAAGUCGUUUGGACCACGAAAGGGAUAGUUGUCAGGAGAUACCAUGGUUACAGUCCCAAGUUCGUUCGUGUAUGGCAGAAGAGGUGGCUCGCUAAACGGCGACCUGGGGAUGGGAAUUUCGUGUGCCGUUGGUGCACCAUUCGAUUCGCAUGUGGACCUCACGUACGCUGAUAGUGUGCGAAGCCGUAGCUAGCGAUCAAAGAAUGUGGACAGACAUAAAUAUAAGUAUCAUGAGUUGCGAUUUCUCAAUUUCAAUUGCAGGAAUGGGUUCAGACUCACCCCCAUGAACUGCGAGAAAUCAUGUUCUCCACGUGAAGCACAAGACUCUGUCAUUCUUUUAAUAGAUCCUUGGUCAAAUACUUUGAUGCGUGGUAGAAUGUUAUGAUUCCUUGGACUGCUUGGAUCUUUAAGCUAAAGUUUAGUCCGUGUCACAUCAAAUCUUCGAAGGCUAAUUAGGAGGACUAAAUAUGAGUUAAUCAUAAAACUAAUUACACAUAUGGAGACUAAUUCGCGAGACAAAUCUAUUAAUCCUAAUUAAACUAUAGCAAAUGGUUACUGUAGCAGCACAUUAUCAAAUCAUGGACUACUUAAGCUUAAUAAAUUCGUCUCGUAAAUUAGUCUCCAUCUGUACAAUUAAUUUUUUAAUUAGUUUAUAUUUAAUACUCUAAUUAUUGGAACUUUAAUACCGGGAACCGCACGGAACCUAAGCUCGAUAUUGUCUAGAACCUUCGUACGGGGAAAUGUGGCAAGAUGCAUGAUGUAAAAGUAAAAGGAUCUUGGGACCCAGCACACGUGUACUUGGACGGACAGAUGGCAACCUGCAGGGCUGUUACCCGGCCUUUGCGGAUUACCUCCGCUCUUGCCUUCUGAGCUGACUCAAGGACGUGGCAGUGCACACGUAUCGGCACCAAUUAAGGCCCGUUUUAGAAAACUGACUUAUUUUUAGCACCCGUCACAUCGAAUAUUUACAUACUAAUUAGGAGUAUUAAACGUAGACUAUUUACAAAACCCAUUAUAUAAGACGAAUCUAAACGGCGAGACGAAUCUAUUAAGCCUAAUUAGGACAUGAUUUGACAAUAUGUUGCUACAGUAAACAUUUGCUAAUGAUGGAUUAAUUAGGCUUAAUUAGGCUUAAUAGAUUCGUCUCGCCGUUUAGAUUCAUCUUAUGUAAUGGGUUUUGUAAAUAGUUUACGUUUAAUACUCCUAAUUAGUAUCUAAACAUUCGAUGUGACACGUGCUAAAAAUAAGUCACCGGAAGAAAAGCCCCCUAAACCUAUCUAUCAUCUCAGGAUCCUUCAGAGCACCCUAGAAAUCUGUGUUCCCGUGAUCGUGUUUUAUUGAUGGCGCUAGUAGGUGGCCCAUGACAAAGAUGACAAAUGCAACCUUGAACCGAUGAACCUCAUGCCCCAAAGACUUGUCAUCUAUGUGCUUAGCCAAGAGAUGUUCAAGGGAUUUGAAGCUACGAGAAUCGCUUAAUCCACAAUCUUCCCUAAUAAGAUAUUUGAAGCUACGAGAAUCGCUUAAUCCACAAUCUUCCCUAAUAAGAUUAAUCUGCUCCAAAGAAAUCUCAGUGCUUCCGACAUCUAAAUCACCACAAGGUAUACCAAACACAAUACCAACAUCCUUCUCAUGAACAUAAAUGCGCCUAGAUUCGGUAAAAUGAUGGAGCUCUCCUCUGCAUCUGAUGUAGCACUGGUUCGAUCUUCCGAAAGGUAGUGAUAAAUUCGAUUGACGAUCCAGACUUCUAAUCAGACACGAUUCGACUCCCUGCAACCGCUACACCACUGCUCCUUUGGUUAUCAACCAAGCACAACUUGAUUGACCUCGCCGAGAAGGUUUUCCCUGCAAGCGAAUCGAAGGACACAAGCAAGAAAGUAUAAACACGCAAUCUGAUAUUGCAAAUAUGAACUCUCAAUUCGAAAGGACUAAUCGACACAGUCGAGGAGAACAAGAACAGGGGUCCUGGACCACUGUAAAAGGACUUGUCGCCACAGUUACAACGAAUCAAUCUCAGUUUCUCAAAGGAAAACUGGAACUAAACAAAACCCGAGUUUCUAAGGCAGCGGCUACUGAGUUUAUAUCAAAGGGACGAAAUAGGGUUGGGGGCGACCAGGAAGGGGACGCCCACAACUUGGGCUUAAGGCCCGACAUGAUACAAGGCCAAGUUGGCCCAAAACUGGUGAUGCAGCACCUUGUCGUGGUCGCAUAGAAUGAUCCACGAACCUUCUGGAGCUAGGUCUAGAACCAAAAGAAUGGUGUCGUCGUCCCCAUUCUAACGCAUCAAAGAAUGCCUCGUUUUGAUGUCGUAUAAGGGAGAUAUGGCCAAAACCGUAUAGGGGUGUCGACUGAAUCCGAAACGAACGCGACGACCGAGUUGGUGACGAAUUGUAACUUAAGGAAGACCAUGACUCAUGCAUGUCUAGCAUGGCGAUAUCCUCAUCAUCCUCCCCUUCUUGAAUUGGAGUCGUCCUCGACUCCAUCCCAUCAUCAAUCUCCUGCAAAAAGUUAAGCACAGCAGGAUGCAAAGUACGAGACAUAGGGGUAUCGGUAACACAAACAUCUCGUCAAAAUAUAGUAUAGCAAGGUGCUUCAUGAUUAUCACAUAAGGCAGAAGUGGUGGCAAGAUAAACACCCUCUUUUAACUUAAUCCCAUUAUGUGUACCAUGAGAUGGAACUAAUGCAUGAUCCUUCUUAACAAUUUCAGCAAGCUCGUUAUGAUGUUUCCUAAUAUCCGCAGGAGAUAAAGGAAGGAAAGUAAUAUUCUUUUUUUGAUGCAUAAAAGUAUAUUUAUUAGUUCUGCCAUGGUGUAAAGUAUCAUGGGCAGCCUAACAAAAGAGAGCAUGCUUGCAUAGGGACAACAUCAAAAUCAGCAUAAGCCAAUAGAAAAAUACACGCGCGCUGAUCUAGCUACCUUUGUCUUAACACUAUUGUUGAACCAUUGUAGGUGGUACGGAUGCGGGUGCGCACGUGUGGUCAAACCAAGUUUCUCGACCACAUCUGAACUCACCAAGGUGUUGCAACUCCCACUAUCAAUAAUGAUGAGAAUAUGGUGAUCCUUGAUGAUGAGAAACAUGUGGAACAAAUUGCGGUGUUGGAGCUUGUCUUCCUCAUGUCCCAGUUGGGAAGUCAACACCUGCUGCACAAGAAGGCUCUCAUAAUGUAACACCUGGUGUUUCAAUAAUCAAAGGUGACUAAGAAAAGUUAAAGGUGAAUUAUGGAGAAAAAGGGAAGAGAUUGAAUAAAAGUCAAAUUCAAGCCAAAUUUGACCAAAAUUUGAAUUUUUGAAUCUAAAUUCAGAAAAAUUGGGCAAAAAUAUGAAAUGGAAGCUUGAGAGUGUUUAGAACUUUAGGGAUCAAGAUUGGAGACUAAACCUAGUCCUAAACAUCUCAAGAAAUGCAAUUGAAAAAUAAAAAUAGAAUGAUACUAUUCACUAUCCGAAAAUAAAGUUUCAGAAAAACAGUGCAAGUACCCAUUUUGGAAAUUGAUUUCUGCCAAAUUUUCCAAAUAAGUGGGUAAAAACAACUGCACAGCAAUGAAGUAUGAACUUUGGACAAGUAUAAUAGGGUGUUGUUGGUCAAGAACAGUAAAGGGAUCAAAUUCAAAUUGGGGCCCAAAGUCAGCACUUUGCCACGUUUGACCUAGCUGCUGAACUGAACCUUUUUCUAAGUCUGAAAACAGCAAUCAGUAGCUAAGUUUGGAGUGAAAUUCAGAAGGAUGGAGUGCAAAAGGUAUAAGUGUUUAUGAGCAAAAUGGGAUCUCUGAUAGUUGUAGAGCAUGAACGGUUAGUAGUUGGACUAAGAGAAAGGAGUUUAGGCCACUGAAAAUGAUUCAAAAGAUGGGUAAAUGACCAUGCUCGGGUGACUGUCGAACUGAUUCAGUAAUUUAGAAACUUUUCAGUUGGCCCGAGCUAGAAGCUCAAAAAUGUCGGUGUUGGGAUGAUUAUCUCGAGUAAGAGCCAAAAUAUAAAUUGAAGGGUUCAAGUUUAUCUCCAAGUUUGCCUGAGGGACCUUGGGACCGUCGGAUGCGAAAUCGGCCGUGGGGAGGAUCUGAAUUUUCUGAUGCAAGAAAGAAAGGGGGAGAAAGGAAACAGAGGUGGCGAGAUGUGUCGCCGCCGGCGCCCUUGCCCGCUGUCCAGCUCAACAUCUAGGCCACCUCCUCACCACGCCAGCCUACGACUAGGCCACGGUGUCGCCCAUGCGCGCGGUAAGACCUUCGAAUAACUACUGCUCCCGCCACCGCUUCUUACCGCCCUGCUUUUACCGCCGCCCAUGAGUUCUUUGCCCAGCUGCUGUCGCCGAUCAAAUUCCACCGCCACAAUGCCUUCCCCGUCGAUUCCUCUCGCCCACACCUCCGCUAAUACCUCGCCUACAUCCGUGUCAGCUUGUUGUCCAGCUUCUCCGCCGGCAAGCCCUUAACCGCCACCGUUUCCGUCCGCCGCCGCAAGACCUCCUGCUCACGUGAGCUUUACCUUACCGUUGCUUUCUUUCCUUGUGGUAAGCCGCAGGUAAGCUCUUGGGGUACUAGGAAGCUGUAGGGGUAGUUGAAGAGGUGAGUUACGCCGUCGUCAUGCUUGGCCACGGCCGGCCGUCAGUUCCGCCGCCCGCCGCCGUGGAGAGGGUUGCUCCGGCCACCUCCCGGGGAGUUGCCGCCGUGCACGGGUGCGCUAUGGCAUGGAGAUGCUUUCCCAGCCCGGCCCCGUCGCCGGUGGGGCACCGGCCGGCGAGCCGCGCCACGCCCUGUCGCGCUCGGUUUUGGCGCAAGGAGGAAGACGGUGCUGGCGUCGGGGGCCCGCGCAUUAGAAGAAAGGCCGGCCAGAGGAGGGGUUAAGGCUGGUGGGCCGGAGUCCAGUAGGCCCAAGUGCCGGUGUGGAAAAAGGCCAACAGGCCGUUUCGGUAGGCCAGGUACCGCGGAAAAAAAGAAAGGGAGAAGGGUGGGCCGUUGGGCCGGCACCCUAGUAAGAAAAGGAGGAGAGAAGGAGAAUCGGCCCAGUGGGCCUGGAUGAAGAGGAGUGGCCGGCAGGUAAAGGGAAUAGGAGAAGGAGGUGGACCCGAGCCGCGGGCCCAGCGCGAGUGAGAGAGGGUAGAGAGGGGGCGAGUGAGAAAAGUUGGGCCGGGAGUUUUUGGGAAAAAUUUGGAUUUUCUUUUAUUAGAAUAAUAGAUUAAAUUCGUAUAUCACCAUUUAAAUCACAGAAAUUUCUAGGAGUGUCCAAAAUUAGUGAAACCAAUUUUGUUAGGAUUGUUUUAUUUUCCUUUAUGCAUUAAAAUUAUUAUACCCUAGGAAAAAUAAUAAAAACUUAGGUAUUUGUUUAAUGCCUUUUCAUUAAGGUAUUUAAAUAAAUACUUAACCUUUAUUAAAUGCAUAAAAUAUGAAUAAUGUUUUCAUGUUCACAAAUUAUUAUUAACCCAUAGGAAAUUCGGUUUUGAGACUAGAAAAUGAUUAUAAUGUUUUCUAAAAAUAAAAGAAAAGGCCUAAGGUAGGAUUAGUAAAGAAAAUAAAAUGGUGGGUUAAUCUUUUCGGGUUUUUGUGUGUUGGCUUGCAACUUUAUCAUGAUAAAUUGUGUAGUCACUUGUUGGCUUGCAACUUUAUCAUGAAGGAAAGUUGUAUAGUCUUGUAUUCAAAAGGUUGCAUCACUAACCCAUGCAUAUGCUAUAUCGUAGACACCAAAGCACCUGAAGAGGAUUUCUUGGAAUUACCAGAAGGAUCUUCGGAGUUUGAAGAGAUCGUUGAGUUGAUCCCCUGCGAAGCCAAUCCGUCGGACAGUGCUAACAUUUUUAUAAAACAAGGCAAGCCCCGGUGCAUUUAUACCUAUCUACUUUGGAAUUAUUAUUUCAUGUGUCCAAUUAUUGGUUAAUUUCUAUAUGAAUGCAUUAAGUCUAGGAGUUGAUUGAAACCCAUUCUUGUGCAUGAUCUUACCUUGUUUAAGGACAUCUUUGCUACUUGUUCAAACAAUUAGUAAAUAACCCAAGUUUAGAAAUGCUUAGAUGCUUAAAGUAACUUGGUUACCGAACCUUAAGGUAAAAUGUGGGGUCAUACAUGCUAAGUAUGGAAUGGUAGCUUGGAAAUUUGAAAGGCAGGCAAAAGCUAGAGAUGUUAGUUCUGUCUGCUAGUUUAAUCUGGUUAAGGCCCGAUCGUUGUCUUAACCUUUGAUCAAGUGAAUGACACCUGGUUACUUACUGGGUAUGGGACCAGUAAAGCCCGGUAGGUUAGUAGACUCUCUGAUCGGGAAUAUUUCGUACCCGUGCUUGAUGUGCUGGAGAUUGGCAGGGGCGUAGCCUGAAACUCACAUGGAGAUCAGGCCACACGUGGGGUCCCGUGUGGAGGUGCGUCCCUGGGUUCGGGUAGUCUUAUUCCCAAUCCUUGGGUUUUCUAAUCGAAAGGUCGUUACGUACGACCCGGACAGUCGUACAUAGCUGGUGAUCAGAGUGCUCUCCUGCAGGAUGUAAAUUGAUCUGGAUCACCGCAAUUCUCGGUUAUGAAUGCACUUGAUCACUGUUGAGCAUCGUAGUAUAAUCUCAUGUAUGCAAUAUAUAUUUCCAAUAUUAAUUUGUUGUAUGACUUAAAUUCUUACUGCUUGCAAAAGUAUCUUUUGUUACCAUUUAGAUUGGUUAGGUAAUAACUUAAUUGAGUUAAAAGAUAAAGCUAAGGUCUCACUUUUUAGUAAGCUCUUUCGGCAAAAAGUGAGUCAGCCAGUACACUAAACAGCUAUCAUGUAGUUCCAGAAAAACUAUUAUAUUGGUUAGUCGGGUAAGCCUUGCUGAGUACCCCGUACUUAGGGUUAUCCCUUGUGGCUGUUUCAGAAGCACCGCAGGAGUCCGCAGAGGAGGAAGCCCCAAAAAACUAGGGUAUUGUUACGAGUCUCACAAUACCCUCAAAAGAAAAACUUAAACGUUCAUCUCUCACCUGGACCAGUUUAUGUUUUAAACUCCUAGAAUCUCUCUGACCUGCACUGUUAAGUUUAUUUCAAACUAUGUUCUGUAAUAAUUCGUACCUCUUGUAUGUAUGUAAAAAUGUAAUGUUUGUUGAUGCUUUCCCAUCGUCGAAACGAUCCUAGUGUAUGGCUAUGAGACGUGACGUGGAUCUUUUGAGGAGUCCUAGGGACACUCGACGGACUACCGGACAUAUAUUGUUUUAAGUGCGUUUCGGAUAAUUGCUAUCCCGAUAGCGAUUAGACGCAUUUAAACCAGUUUAAGUUGGGAGGUUCCGCCACACAUAACCCGUCGAGGCAGCCAGAGAAUCAACGGCAACCCCUCCUCGUUAUUCGCUUCAUCUGCAACAAUGUUAGUAGCAAGAACCAAUUCAUCUUCACCAUCACUAGCACUUACAUAUCUUGUUCCAUCAGCGGUGGCUAUGUAAGCACGACGAUUUGGGCAAUCCUUCAUGACAUGUCCAAUGCCCUUGCAACGGUGGCACACAAUUUUGUAGGAGCUAUUCGAUGACGCACCAGGGGCCAUAGCUUUCUUCUACGGUUGGGACUGCACAGGAGACAAAUAGCUCACCUCGAAAGCAUGUGUAGUAGCAGACGGUGUCGCUGGUGGCUGGGUAACAGAAGCCUUAGGCUUGUCGAUGUCAGAACACUGCUACGGAAAAGAUCUUCCAGGGUUGGACCUGAAAGUGUGUUGUUGACGACGUCCCUAUAAUUCCCUUUUAGCUUUAAGAGCAAGAUGAUAUAAUUGGUUUUACCUAUUCCAAUCUUUGUAAUCAUGAAUAUCCUGUAUAUCACAAUUCAAACCACCAAAGAAUCUAGCACAGGUAUCUUCAUCAUUUUCAUGUAUAUCACAACGUGCUAGACCAAUGAGCAAUUCCUGAUAAUAUUCUUCUACUCCUUUUUCACCUUGUUUUAAAGUUUGUAGUUUCAUACACAAAUCACGUUGGUAAUAAGGAGGAACAAAACAAGAUUUCAUACUGUCGUUGUCAAGAAUCACGGGUCAAGACUACGGUAAGUGAAUUUAUUUUCUAUGUGCGUAAGGCUUGGAUGGUUGCACGAGAGGACACGGGGUUUAGACUGGUUUGGGCAGGAAUAGCCCUACGUCCAGUGUGGGAGACAGCUCAUGUUACUCGUGCAAAGUCUGUAGUAGGGGUUACAAACGGGUAAGAGAGGGAAGCUGGUCCCAAGUCUCUGUGGGUGUACAUUGAUGCUCAUGAAGAGAGAGGGUGAGUUGGGGGGUGUUCGGUUGGCUUGGGAGCUGUCCCCAUCUUGGGCCCCCUGGUCUUUCUUUUAUAGCGUAAGGAGGACACAAGAGUUACAAUUGAGGGAGGGGCCGAAGGGGAGUGGAGAAAGUAAAUCAGGAAGUAACAGCGCAGGGAGAAGGACCAGGCCUCCGGAGUCGCCGCCUUCCCUUCCGGGCACCGCAGGGAGAAGGACCAGGCCUCCGGAGUCGCCGCCUUCCCUUCCGGGCACCGCAGGGAGAAGGACCGGGCCCCUGGAGUCGCCGUCUUCCCUCCCGGUCUCUGUCUCCCGUCAGCAUGACCUCCGGAGGGGGAUGGCUAUCGUGGGGCCCCACCGUCGACCCUCCGAUUAGCCGUUGUAGCCGAGCGUGCGGGAUAUGCACGGCGACCGACCGCUGUAGCCAUGCGUGAUGAUGAUGAUGUCUGGCCACCGCAGUCGUGCACGUCGGGAAGGGCGGCCAACCUCUGUAGCCUUGCAUGCUGACCGGGAGGUGCGGCCAACACGCCCCUGCCACCGGGCCGAGCGUGAAAGCGGGUGGCGCUUCCUUCUUUGUUGGGCGGCGUGGCUGAUGAGUGCCCUAUGACGAAUGUCACAGGGGAGGGAGGACGGUGCAGUUGUAGCCCCGUGCAGUCGUGGCUACUGGGCGCCGCCCGAAAACUGUGGCGGGUCACAUCGAGGAGCGCGAGCGCCUUUCUGUGCGUCAGAGCCGCAUUCCGAACAGGCGCCCCGCAGGUCGCAUUUAUGGCGAGAUCGGUGGGGGCCCACGAGAUCCGUGCCCUCGUUCUCUGGUCCGCGCCCGCCCUCAGGUGAGGCGAAGCCCUAUCUUGUGGGCCUGGAUGUGUUCGACCCCUAGCGCCUGGGGUCGGGCUCGUCCGACCCCUUGCGUCCGGGGUUGGGUGAGGUGGAGCCUUGCGGCGAGGAAUCGGACGCGUCCUACCCUAGGACCAUGGGUCAGGCGAGGCGAAGUGGGAUAUUUCCUGUCCGUGUCAAGUCGGCGGAGGUCACUGUCGCCGCAGGUGGGCCCGGGCCCUUAUGACCGUUGUUUAAGGUGCAUAAGGACGUUGUUCAUAUUUCCCUCCAACAGUAGCCCCCGAGCCUUUGGUGGAGCAAAAAUGCUCCUCCAGAGGCUGCAUUUGUCGUUCAUCGAGGAUCCUCCCUUUUGACCGUUGUUUAAGGCGCAUAAGGACGUCGUUGAUAUUUUCGUCCAAUAGUAGCCCCCGAGCCUUUGGUGGAGCAAAAAUGCUCCUCCAGAGGCUGCAUUCGUCGUUCAUCGAGGAUCCUUGUUUGUCCUGCAACCUGCAUUUGAUCAGGGAGGAAUAGUUUUGCUCGUUUGGCUUGGCCGGGGAGUUUGGGUAGGUAGGGUGUUCCAAGGAUGGCUCGGCGUGGGAAGAUUCCCUAUCGUUCCGGCGACCACUCCCACUCCAAAACCCCAAAUUGUGACCACAUGCAUGGUCGUUGGUUGCGACACUAGCCCCUGAGCCCCCGCACGUUGCAGGAGACCGAUCGAGAGGCUGGAUCAACUUUUGAUCGUUACCCCUCAAGCGUCCAUUCGCAGGGAUGGAGGGAGUGAGCCGUGCCACAUUAUCCUUGUUGGACGAACCGUGGUGCUCAUUGAGUUGCGAAGGGUCAGUUCGAGUAGAGUCCUGAUCCCUAUUCGUGGGGGUUCGGCUCGGGCCAAACUAGUGGCGUACUCCAGAUUCCUGAUGGCCAGUUAAUCUAGUUCCUGGGUCCGUUCGAUUGGACCCGGGGGCUCAUUGCCUUUCUUCGGGGAAAAACCAUGAGCUUAGACGCCAGUUCGGACUCGAAUGUGAGGUCGGGAUGCCCUUGGCUUUCGCUCGCCUGGGUGAUGGCCGCUAGCGGACCUGUCCCUUCUCACCCCUUGCUCGGGGCGUCCUGGGGCGACUGUCAAACCCACAGUGGGCAGCCUUCCAACCCCUGGACCAUAAUGGGCCAUAGGAGCGUUUCCAGCUCCGUAUCCCUUUUUAACCUGUUAGGGGGCCCCGGGCCGUACGUGGAGGAAGUCACGCGCGUGCGCUCUCUGGGAGGCAAAGUGGUGGAAAAUUCUGGGCCUGUGAAAUGAGGGAGGGGGAGGCGUUCCCUGCAGUAGGAAAGGGUCGUGCGCACGGUUUCCAAAAAAGAUGGGGGUGACGGGGUACCUGGCUCGCAAUAACUGCGAUUGGAUUUGCCCUUUUGCUUCUCGCGUGCCCCCUAUAAGAAGAAGGAGUCCACCUCGCCAGUUCCACCCCGCACUCGUCCUCAAGCCUUUCUUGCCUUCUUGUGCUCCUUUCGCCUCCCUUCGCUCUAGCGUAGCAGCUUUCUCCGCCCCCGCUGUUGAGCCUUCCACUCCCUUAGCGAUGGACUCCUGGAUGCGCUCAAGCUUUAGCACCGCGCUUGCCAAUGGCCUCGUGAAGAAGGCUUUGCGAGAGGACCGCCAAGAACGAGUGGCGGUACCUCGGGAUGGAAGAUGCGCCGCAGCCGGACGACGGCUCCGUCAUCUCGUUCGCGCACUUCCAUGCGAGGGGGUUCGCGACUCCGCCGAGUCUCUUCUUCCGCGGGCUGCUGCACUACUACGGGCUCAAGCUGCAGCACCUCAACCCCAACGGGAUCUAGAACAUUGUGGUGUUCGUCGCGUUGUGCGAGGGGUACCUAUGAAUCGAGCCUAACUUCUCGCUCUGGAUGUACUUCUUCACGGUCAGCCUGUAUCAAAGGACCGAGAAGAAGGGGAUCCAGGUGCGGGCAGUUCCGGUACCGAUGGGGUGCGCCGGCAUCCACCUCUGCCAGACUCGCACCAAGGACUACAUGGCGAUGAAGACCGCGGCGUCCCACAAAGGGUGGCACCAGCAGUGGUUCUAUGUGAAGAACUACCCCGAGUCCCCCUUGCCGGAGUUCACCGGCCGUGUCAUCGUGGCGGCGCGAGACCACUGGUCGUACGGCCCGGUCGAGAAGGAGAAGAAGCACAUCACCGGUCUUCUUCAGGCCAUGGACCGCUUGAAAGAGGAGGGCCUGAACGGGGCCAGAGUUAUCAGGGCGUACCACCCUCGGAGGAUGGCACCGCUGAUGCUCCGGACCCACGCGCUCAGCGAUAUGUUUCCCAGCUCGGCAAGCAAGGUCACCGUCCUUGCGACGGGUGUGCUUGCUGAUGCCGAGAUUGAGCAGCGCGUCUGGCAGGCACUGGAUGAUAGGGACGUCGUUUACCCGGUGCCCGGUCACCCUCUGAUGCACCCGAACGAGGACUUUGUCCUGCUGGUGAGAAUUUUGUACUCUCGUUCUUUUUCCUGCGUCUCCUGGUUCUCCAUUCUAACACGAAGUCUUUGAAUCUGCAGGGUGAGUUGAACCGGGUCGUGACCUCACGCCUGCUAGUGCCAGAGGAUGCAGCACGGCGGCAGCAGAACCGCCUCCUAACUGAGAAGCAGAAGAGGAGGAAAGAUAAAGAGAUGGCGAGGAAGAGGAAGAGGGCCGCGAAAGAGUUCCAAAGGUGGUGGCGGGGCGCGGUCGUGUCGGACGAUGAAGAUGACAAUGAUGAUGAGGACGAGACCGAGGAGGAGGAGGAGGAGGGUUACGUUCCAGUCUUCGCGCUGGGUGCGCUCGUCAUCCAGGAGCAGCCCCCUCAACCACCCGCGGGGGACAGGUCAAGCGGACCGCCCACCUGGGGCCCAACCCCGCGCGGCUCUGGGGCCGCGCCCUAGGAGUCGGCGAGGGGCGCGCCUCGAGGAUUGACGGAGCCGACCCCCGACCCUCUGCCUGCGUCAUACGAGCAGAGGGGUAGUGACAAGCGGCUGCUAUCGGAUGUCCCAGGGUCGGCGUCAAGCUCGGAGGCGAAGCGCGCCCGCCGUCCUCGUGCCACGGCGAGGUAAGUGGAAUGUUCUCACGUAACUUAUUCCUUUCCUAGCAUCGAGCUGCUUUUGAUGAAGUUGUCAUCGUCUGGCAGUGCUGCUCCUCGAGACUUCGUCCCGCCGCUGGCGUUGAAGAAGGCGCUCCGGGUGUCGACCGCCUCUGCGGGGCCAACCAUGGCCCCGCCCGGAGCGAGCGAGGGUGUCAUUGGAGAGGCUGUGGUGCCUCCUGCGGAGGCGGCCUCUGCGGCGACGGCUGCAGAAAGGGUGCCGCAGUCAGGCACAGAGCCUUGGCCGACCCCUAUUCCGCCCUCUGCCCCCGCAGCUGACCCCGCGGGACAAGGUACCGUCCCUAGGGUUCCUCCGUCCAGCGAGGUGAUAAACCUUGACGAUGAGGCAAAGGAGGAGCCGGUGGGGAAGGCGUCAGCGUCCAGCGCGUUGGUCACGGAGGUGGCAGCGACGGCGGUGGAAACGGCGGCGGCGGUGCAGAUGGUAGCUCCUGCUUCGGCGGCGACGACGAAGACGAUGGCAGCAGCAGAGAUGGUGGCGCUGGCCCUAGUGGCGACGACGGAGACAGCGGCGGUGGCGGAGACGGCGGCGGCGGCGGAGAUGGGAGCGUCCGCUCCGGCGGAGACGAUGGGGGUGGCGGUGUUGGGGCGGGCCGGAGAGUCCUCCCGUGCCCUCGUCCCGCUUGGUCGUGACCCCAACGCGUGGGGAGGGCCGAUUGUGCUGGAACAUGUCAGGGGGAGCAGAAAAUAUAGCAGGUUGUGCAGGGUGGACUCGAAGACAUCCGUGCCGCCCUGUCUUCCGCGAUGGGGAAGCUGGACGAUGUUAGUUGUUCUCAGCGGUCAGGUACGGUGUUCGCUUUGGUGGUUAUUUUUCUUUCAUUUCUCCGUCCCUUCUUUCUCCCGACGGUUCCUAAGCGUAAAUUGUUCUGCAGGCCCUCCAAGAAUGUGUUGGAGGUAUGCCCUAGAGGCAAUCAUAGAGAUGAUGAUAUUCCAUUUGUAUCCAUGAUUUGUAUAUUGUGUUCAUUGAAUAUCCAUUAAAGGCUACUUGAAUUGAUUUGCAAUUAUGUGAAUUGUAUGUGAAACUCUUUACUUGUAUGGUUAUUCUAAAGUUGUCCCUAGUCGGAGUUCAUGUGAGGACACACAUGAAUAUUAGACUAGCACAUGUAUUAGUUGAUGACUAUGUUUCACAAGUCAUGGACAUGGAGAAGUUGAACUAAUAAUGUGGACACAUGUGGAGACAUGUGUUAGGACUGACCCAACACGAGAAGUAGUUCUCUCUUUAAACAACAUAUACGCUUUGUCCUUAGACCUGUGAUUGUCGCAUGUAUUCUAGAUGUGGAUCGACCUACUUAGGGGCUAUCAAACGCUACGCCGUAACAGGGUAGUUAUAAAGGUAGCUUUCGGGUUUGUCAAGAAGCAUGCUAUGAGACAUGGUCAAUCAAGAUGGGAUUUGCCCCUCUCUGAUUGAGAGUGAUAUCUCUGGGCCCCUCGAGUGAUCGGAUCCGAAAAUGCAUGGCCAUGCUAUGUACGGUUAAGAGUUAACCUACAAAGGGAUUCCGAAUCACAGGAUCGAGAAAGAGCGGUCGGCUUGAAGCUAGACCAAAUAUCGUGAGGCAAAGGGAAUAGCAUGUAUAUUAUGUUGUGAUGGUUCGUCUGAUAUGAUCUUCGUGUGCGUAUAGGAGUUGGCACGUCUUGCUAGAGGCCGCUACCGACUAUUGGGCCGAGUAGGAGUACUCGGGCCAUGUCUAUACGUAUCCGAACCCAUAGGAUCACACACUUAAGGGGCUGGAAGCCCAAUUCGGAUCUAAUCCGAGUUGGAUUAGGUUUAGGAGUACUAAUGGGCCUCGGAUCCAGAGGCCCAUCAGGAACCUCUAUAAAUAGAGGGGUGGGGGCGCCCUAGGGUUUACACCUUUUGGCGAAACACACCUGCCGUGCCUCCCACACCCUCGCUUGUUGCAACUCGCGGAUCUAGCAGUCCGGCUUGCGAUGCUUCCUCCCUGCACGUGUGGAUACCUUGGAGGUGUUGCGCCUGCAGCACUUGGACGAGCCAUCGACGAGCCGCCGACGAGCCGCGGCACCGGAGGUGAUCUUGCUGCACGUGGGAGCUGCUGGACGUGAUCGACUACGUACGACUACGUGAUCGUCUUCACUGCACCGACGCAUAUCUACAUCUUCCGCACCAGUAGUGCGUCGAGUGGUAAUCCCGUGAUCCUUAUACGGCAGCUCUUCCUGGUUAUACGCGGUAGAAAAUUUUGAUUUGCGCUAGUAUAGCCUACCUCGUAUCCCUACAGAAUGUAGCCAGGGGAAGUUCGAGUUCCUCUGGUGUGAGAGGGGGGUCUGGGAGCGCUUCACCAGGGAGGUGCGACGGACCGGGGAGCUGACCGGGCAGCUCGCCGCCACCCAGCAGAAUGCCGCCGACCUGCGAGCGCAGGAGAAGGAGGUGCGGGAAGGCACACGGAGGGUGGAGGACAAGUUUCGGGCCGUCGUCAAGAAGGCCCGUCUUGAUGCCAAGGAGUUCCAAGCCGUUGCCGAGAAGGCUCGCCACGAUGCUGAGGAGCUUGCACGGUUGAGGAAGGAGCACAAGGCCCUUUAGAAAAUCGUUGAGCGUAUCCGGCAUGAAUGGCACGCGGCUCGGCAGGAGUGCGACCUCGAGGCGGGCCGGAAGGUUGAGGCCGAGAGGGUGGUGGCCGACCUUGGGGCAGAGGUCAGUCGCCUUCAUUCACAAAUGCAGGGGCUUCAGACCGCCGUGUCCCAAGGGCUCGAUCGGGAACGUCUGCUGAGAGCUAAAUCUGAGGGUAAGGCUUUCGUUGUUCCUUUGUUUUGCGGCAUUGCACUGGUUUCUGAUUUGGCAGGCUUUUCUAGACAGGCCUUGAGGCCGACCUCGCCCGGCUGAGGGACGCUGACGAUGCGGAGGACGUUGAGCUCGCCAACCUGCGGGACGCUAUUCGCAUCAUCUGCGAGGACCUCAACGUGGUCCAAGAGGAGGGGACGAGCACGCUGGCAGCCCAUGUCCUUGGGAUGUAGCGGCAGGCCCGUGAGAUCGCUCGGGAGGCGCUCCACGUCGGCGUGAGGCGGGCCUUCGGCGUCUUCGGCUCUCACUACUUUGGCAUCAACUUCGGCGCGAUGAGCGGGGGGUACGCCUCCGGCUACUUCGAGGCCGAGCUGGACGAGAUCAACGCGUCGGUGCUCAAUCCAGCGGAAGCCUUGGUGAAGGUCCUGGAGGAUGAGGCCAUCCCACCAGAGGACCCGGGGACGAGUUAGCUAUAUCGGGCCCAGAUGCCCAAAAAUAUGUAAAUAUGUUAAGUAAUUUCGAACUUGCUUCUGCAAUGGCCACAGAGGCCUUUUUGUUUGUGUAAUUUUUCGAAAAAGUUUUCGAUCCUCUUCUUGUUUUUUGGGUUUGGAAAAAUGAGAGCGCGAUUCGGACGCGUCAGGAAGCACCGAUGAGCGAAGGCACCAUAGCCGUUGGGGCGUGGGUUUCUCGCAGUCAGAUCGGUCUUGCCCGAGCGUCGUUCGCGCACUCCUUUCUUUUCACGCCCAAACGUUUAGGAAGGGGGUCGGUUUGGAAAAAUAGUAUUUUGAGAAGAAGCCAAGUGUCUUGGGCCAGAGCCCUUGAUAGCCCCCGAGGGAUAUGCAACCCUGGGGCAGAACCAGGGUCGGAUAUCCCUAAGCUUGGGACGAAACUCUAGCAAAGGCAACUCAAAACCGCCCCUUUUUCACAAACUAAAAGAUGACAGAAGUAUGUAUGUACAAACUUGGAAAUAGUAGCUAAGGAUAGAAACGUCUUAGUUGCUCGAUGUUCCAAGCGUUGGUGAAGACCUGCCCGUUGGGGGUCGCUAGCUUGUACGUGCCCGGGCGUAGUACUUGUGCGACGAUGAAAAGACCUUCCCAUGGACAGGUCAGCUUGUGCCGACCUCUCUUGUCUUGGAGAGGUGAAGCACCAGGUCACCGACGUUGAAGGCUCAGCCCCAUACCUUACGGCUGUGAUACCGUCGCAAAGCUUGCUGGUACUUGGCCAAGUGCAGCAGGGCCAUGCCACGCGCUUCGUCGAGCUGGUCUUGCGCAUCCUUGAGAGAUGCUUGGUUCCCUCGUUCGUCGUACGCCCUGACCCUUGGUGACCCGUACUCCAGGUCAGUGGGGAGGAUUGCCUCGGACCCGUAGACCAUGAUGAACGGGGUGAAGCCGUUGCCCUACUGGGAGUUGUCCUCAGGCUCCAUAUGACUGCGGGCAGCUCCGCAACCCAUCGACUGCCGAACUUGUUGAGUCAGUCGAAGAUUCGUGGCUUGAGACCCUGGAGUAUCAUGCCGUAGGCCUGCUCGACUAGUCCGUUCGUGCGGGGGUGCGCCACGGCUGACCAGUCUACUCGGAUGUGGUGAUCAUUGUAGAACUUGAGGAAUUUCUUCCCGGUGAACUGUGUGCCGUUGUCCGUGAUGAUGGAGUUGGGGAUUUCGAAACGAUGGAUGAUGUUGGUGAAGAAUUGCACCGCCUAUUCGGACUUCAUCUGCACGACCAAUCGAGCCUCGAUCCACUUCGAGAACUUGUUGACGGCGACGAGUAGGUGGGUGAAGCCCCCGGGCGCCUUCUUGAAGGGCCCGACGAGGUCCAGACCCCAGAUCGCGAAGGGCCACGUGAUGGGGAUGGUUUGGAGUGCCUGGGCAGGCAGAUGAGUUUGUUGCACGAAGAACUGGCACCCUUCGUAGGUGCGCACCACGCGGGUGGCGUCAGCCACCGCCAUCGGCCAAUAGAAGCCCUGUCGAAAGGCGUUCCCGACAAGGGUUCUUGGUGCGACAUUGUGGCCGCAGACUCCGGCAUGGAUGUACUGGAGUAACACCUUUCCCUGCUUGAUCGGGAUGCAGCGUUGCAGGAUGCUGGUAUGGCUCCGCUUGUAGAGCUGCUGGUCGAUGAUGACAAAGGAUUUGGUGCGGCGGGCAAUUCUUUGCACCUCUGUCUUGUCCGUAAGGAGCAACUCGUGAAGGAGGUAAUCGAGGUAUGGGGCUCUCCAGUCAGGCGGACCCCCUACUGGAUUCGUGUCGAUUUCCAUGACCUCAGGAUCAGAGGGAUCGGCCUCCGAGUUCAGGAUAGGUGGUGUGCUGCCGACCUCUCCCGGGUUGGCUCCUGAGUCCGGGACAGGUGACGCGUGGCUGGCCUCUCCCGGCUCCUUGCAUUGGAUCGAGGGCUCGUACUGGUCACUGAUAAACACACCAUCGGGGACUGGCUUUCGACCGGACGCCGCCUUUGCUAGCUUGUCAGCUGCCUCGUUGAAGCAUCUUGCGACGUGGUUGAGUUCCAGACCAUCGAACUUGUCCUCGAGCUUGCAGACUUCGUUGCAGUAUGCUGCCAUCUUGGGAUCGUGGUAGCUCCACUCCUUCAUGACUUGCUCAACGACUAGCUGAGAGUCGCCCAGGAUGUCCAGCCGUCGGAUGCCCAGCUCGAUGGCGAUGCGAAGCCCAUUGAGGAGAGCCUCGUACUCAGCGACAUUGUUAGAUGCAGGAAAAUGGAGGCGAAUCAUGUACCUCAUCCGCACUCUGAGGGGAGAGACGAAUACCAAACCCGCUCCAGCGCGAGGUUUCAUUAGUGACCCGUCGAAGUACAUGAACCAGUACUCCUGCUUCUCUAGCGCUGAUGGUGUCUGGAUCUCCGUCCACUCUGCGACAAAGUCGGUGAGUACCUGGGACUUGAUGGCUGUCCGGGGGACGUAGGUGAUGCCCUGGUCCAUAAGCUCGAGCGCCCACUUCGUGAUCCGCCCCAUGGCGUCCUGAUUCCAGAUCACUUCGUCGAGGGGGAAUGAUGACACGACCGUCACCGGGUGGGAGGUGAAGUAGUGGCGCAGCUUCCUCUUCGUGAUGAGGACUGCGUAUAUGAGCUUUUGGAUUUGAGGGUAGUGGGCCUUGGAUUUGGACAAGACCUCACUGACGAAGUACACCAGGUGCUGCACCUUGAGGGUGUGUCCCUCCUCUCGCUCCACCACUAGAGCUGCGCUAACCACCUGGUGGUUGCCGUGGUGUAGAGCAGGAGUGGCUCCCCAUCGGUCGGUGGGACCAGGAUCGGGGCCUUCGUCAGGAUGUGCUUGAGCUGGUCAAGCGUCUCCUGGGCCUCGGCGGUCCACACAAAGCGGUCAGUCUUCUUCAGGAUUCGAUAGAUAGGGAGUCCUCGUUCGUCGAGGCGUGAGAUGAAGCGGCUCAGGGCCGCAAGGCAUCCCGUGAUGCACUGUACUCCCUUCAGGUUUUGGAUCGGCCCCAUAUCGUUGAUGGCUGAUGUCUUCUCCGGAUUGGCUUUGAUGCCGCGCACGGAGACGAUAAAGCCGAGCGCAAGCCCCUUGGGACCCUGAAAAAUGCACUUUUCAGGGUUGAGUUUGAUGCGCUUGUCUCUCAAUGUUUCGAAGGCCAGUUCAAGGUUGGGGACGAGCUGGUCGCCCUUCUUGGCCUUGACCACGAUGUCAUCUACGUAGGCCUCAACGGUUCGCCCAAUGAGGUCCCCGAAAUACUUGAGCAUACAUCGCUGGAUUGUAGCCCCCACGUUUUUGAGGCCGAACGGCAUCGUGACGUAGCAGUAGGGCCCGAAAGGGGUGAUGAAAGAGGUCGCGAGCUGGUCGGACUCUUUCAUCAUGAUUUGGUGGUAACCGGAAUACGCGUCAAGGAAGCUGAGGGUUUCGCACCCUGCGGUGGAGUCGACUAUUUGAUCUAUGCCCGGCAAAGGAAACGGAUCCUUCGGGCAUGCUUUGUUGAGACCCAUAUAAUCAACACACGUUCUCCAUUUCCCAUUCUUUUUUCAUACAAGAACAUGAUUGGCUAACCACUCAGGGUGACGCACUUCCUUGAUGAACCCGGCCGCCAAAAGCUUCUUGAGCUCCUCACCAAUGGCCUUGCGCCUCUUCUCAUCAAAGCGGUGCAAGCCUUGUCUCACCAGUUUGGAGCCAGCCUUGAUGUUCAAGGAGUGCUCGGCGACUUUCCUUGGGAUGCCUGGCAUGUCCGAGGGUUUCCACACAAAAACAUCGCUAUUUGCAUGAAGGAAGUCGACGAGCACGCUUUCCUAUUUGGAAGAUAGGGUAGCGCCUAUCCGCACCGUUUUGCCGUCGGUGCAGCUGGGGUCAAGGGGGACUUCCUUUACGCCUUCUGUGGCCUCGAAGGAGGUGGUGGACUGUUUGGAGUCGGGCAGAUCCUCGGUGCCCUCCACAAGCCACACCACGUGGUCCUCCGAACAAGUGACGGCCGCGGCGUACUCGCAGCACUCUACAUCACACUCAUACACCUUCUGGAAAGACGUGCCGACGGUGAUGACCCCGUUGGGCCCUGGUAGCUUGAGCUUGAGGUAGGUGUAGUUGGGGAUGGCCAUGAACUUGGCGUAACAUGGCCGCCCUAAGAUGGCGUGGUAGGUCCCAUGGAAGUCCACCACCUCGAAGGUGAGGGUCUCUUUCCUGAAGUUGGAAGGAGUCCCGAAAGUGACGGGCAAGUCGAUCUGCCCGAGGGGCAUUGCCCGUUUUCCCGGCAUGAUGCCGUGGAAUGGCGGCUCCCUGGGACGGAGACGGGAUUGGUUGAUCCCCAUGGCGUCGAGGGUCUCGGCGUAGAGGAUGUUAAGGGCGCUGUCUCUAUCCAUGAGCCCCUUGGUGAGGUGCUUUGUGCUGACGAGCGGGUAGCGUCCUGGCUGUAGGACACGCUCCGGGUGGUUGGACUGGUCAAAGGUUAUGGCCGACCUUGACCAGUUGAGGAAGGUCGGGGUAGCGGGGUCGGCCACGUAGACCUCGCGGCGUUCCAGCUUUCAGCAGCGCUUGGAGUCGUAGGCCACCGGCCCGCCGAAGAUCAUGAAGCAGCCGUCCACAUCGGGGAAGCCGUCUUCCUUCUCUCCGCCGUCCUUCUUUUCCUCUUCGGGCUUCCAUCUCCGGUCGCCCUUCACCGGAUUGCCCACAAAGUACCUCUUAAUGAGGCUGCAAUCCUUGUAGGCGUGCUUGGCGGGGAACUCGUGGUUCGGGCAUGGUCCCUAAAGUAACUUGUCGAAGAAGCCAGGGGUGCCAUCGGGAGGCGGCUGUCCCCGUUUUUGCUCGGCAACAGCCACGAGGGGAAUCUCGCACCGUUGCUUGUUCUUCUUCUUCUACUGGCGGUUGGAGGUGCCCUCAUCGGCGUCCUCCUCCCGCUUCGUCUUGCCUUUGGAGCGAUCAAAGAUCGCCCCGACGGCCUCUUCGCCCGAGGUGAAGGUGGAGGAGAUGUUGAGGAGCUCCUCGGUGGUCCGUGGGCCCCUUCGUCCCAGCUCGUGGACCAGGGGCCUACAGGAGGUUCCCGCCAAGAAGGCUCCGAUGACGUCGGCGUCGACGACGUUGGAGAGCUCAGUGCGCUUCCUCGAGAAGCGCCGGAUCUAGUCUCAGAGGGACUCAUCCGACCCUUGGCGGCAGCUCCGGAGAUCCGAGGAGUUUUCGGGGUGCAUGUACGUGCCCUGGAAGUUCCCCCCAAAUAUUUCCUUCAGGUCGUUCCAAUUACGGAUCCGUCCUGACGGAAUGUGCUCCAGCCAAGCUCGUGCCGAGUCAGCCAAGAACAGCGGGAGGUUGCGAAUGAUGAACAGGUCGUCAUCUGCCCCGCCAGCCUGACAUGCAAGCCAGUAGUCGCUGAGCCAAAGCCCAGGGUUCGUCUCCUCGGAGUAUUUGGCCAUGUUGGUGGGCUGCCUAAAUCGCGCUGUGAACGGUGCGUUCAGGAUGCGCGCGGAGAAGGCCCUGGGCCCCGCUAGGUUGGGACUCGGGCUCCGAUAUUCUUUGCUAUCAUAUCGGCCACCACGGUGGACAUGGUAGCCGUGGUCCACUCCAUCCUCCCUGCCCGUGCGAGAGCACCUCUGCGCAUCCAGGGUGUCACGGGCGUCGCGGAUGGGACCCACGCGUCGAUGGACGGAUGGUGCCCCACCACCUGUAGGCGGUGGGGUCUGUCGAGUGGGUGCGUCCUAGUUCCCCCCAGGGGGAGGUUGGUGGAUAGACUCCCCACGCCUUUCGGAGGCACGGUGGGCGCUGCCGUGCUGGCGUUGUGCCCGCGUCACUAGGACGCGGAGCUCUCCGCCUGCAGGACUGCGGCGCACUCAAGCAGGUUGCGCACCUCUUGGUGAGCCUGUCGCUCCUCGGGCGUCGCUGACUCGGGGAGUCGACCAGAUCUGAACUCACCAAGUUGUUCCAACUCCCACUAUCAAUAAUGGUAAGAAUACGGUGAUCCUUGACGGUGAGAAACAUGUGGAACAAAUUGUGGUGUUGGAGCUUCUCUUCCUCAUGUCCCAGUCGGGAAGUCAACACCCGCUGCACAAGAAGGCUCUCAUAACCCACCGAGGCAGCCAAAGAAUCAAUGGCAACCCCCUCCUCGUUAUUCGCUUCAUCUGCAACAAUAUUAGUAGCAAGAACCUAUUCAUCUUCAACAUCACUAGCACUUACAUAACCUGUUCCAUCAGCGGUGGUUAUGUAAGCACGGCGAUUUGGGCAAUCCUUCAUGACAUGUCCAAUGCCCUUGCAGCGGUGGCACACAAUUUUGUUGGAGCGGUUCGAUGACGCACUAGGGCCAUAGCUUUUUUCUGUGGUUUGGACUGCACAGGAGACAAAUAGGUCACCUCGGAAGCAUGUGUAGUAGCAUAUGGUGUCGCUGGCGGCUGGGUAACAGAGGCCUUAGGCUUGUUGAUGUUGGAAUGCUGCUAAGAAAAAGAUCUUCCUGGGUUGGACCUGAAAGUGUGUUGUUGACGACGUCCCUGUAAUUCUCUUUCAGCUUUAAGAGCAAGAUUAUAUAAUUGGUUUUACCUAUUCCAAUCUUUGUAAUCAAGAAUAUCCUGUAUAUCACAAUUCAAUCCACCAAAGAAUCUACCACAAGUAUCUUCUAUUGGGAUACGAGGUAGGCUACACUAGUGUAAAUCAAAAUUUCUACCGCGUAAAACCAGGAAGAACUGCCGUAUAAGGAUCACGGGAUUACCACUCGACGCACUACUGGUGCGGAAGAUGUAGAUUUGCGUCGAUGCAGUGAAGACGAUCAACGUAGUCGUACGUAGUCGAUCAACAUAGUCGUACGUAGUCGAUCACGUCAACAUCCAGCAGCUCCUCAGCAGCUCGUCCACGUGCAGCAAGAUCGCCCUCGUGCCGCGGCUCGUCGUCGGCUCAUCGUGGCUCGUCGGCGGCUCGUCGUGGCUCGUCGACGGCUCAUCGGCGGCUCGUCCAAGUGCUGCAGGCGCAACACCUCCAAGGUAUCCACACGUGCAGGGAGGAAGCGUCGCAAGCCGGACUGCUAGAUCCGCGAGUUGCAACAGGCGAGGGCGUGGGAGGCGCGGCAGGUGUGUUUCGCCAAAAAAGUGUGAACCCUAGGGUGCCCCCACCCCUCUAUUUAUAGAGGUUCCUGACGGGCCUCUGGGUCCGAGGCCCAUUAGUACUUCUAAACCUAAUCCAACUCAGAUCAGAUCCGAAUUGGGCUUCCAGCCCCUUAAGUGUGUGACCCUAUGGGUUCGGAUACGUAUAGACAUGGCCCGAGUACUCCUACUCGGCCCAAUAGUCGGUAGCGGCCUCUAGCAAGACAUGCCAACUCCUAUAUGCACACGAAGGUCAUAUCAGACGAACCAUCACAACAUAAUAUAAAUGCUAUUCCCUUUGCCUCACGAUAUUUGGUCUAGCUUCAAGCCGACCGCUCUUUCUCGAUCCUGUGAUUCGGAAUCCCUUUGUAGGUUAACUCUUAACCGUACGUAGCAUGGCCAUGCAUUUUCAGAUCCGAUCACUCAAGGGGCCCAGAGAUAUCACUCUCAAUCAGAGAGGGGCAAAUCCCAUCUUGAUUGACCAUGUCUCAUAGCAUGCUUCUUGACAAACCCGAAAGCUACCUUUAUAACUACCCUGUUACGGCGUAGCGUUUGAUAGCCCCUAAGUAGGUCGAUCCACAUCUAGAAUACAUGCGACAAUCUCAGGUCUAAGGACAAAGCGUAUAUGUUGUUUAAAGAGAGAACUACUUCUCAUGUUGGGUCAGUCCUAACACAUGUCUCCACAUGUGUCCACAUUAUUAGUUCAACAUCUCCAUGUCCAUGACUUGUGAAACAUAGUCAUCAACUAAUACAUGUGCUAGUCUAAUAUUCAUGUGUGUCCUCACAUGAAUUCCGACUAGGGACAACUUUAGAAUAACCAUACAAGUAAAGAGUUUCACAUACAAUUCACAUAAUUGCAAAUCAAUUCAAGUAGCCUUUAAUGGAUAUUCAAUGAACACAAUAUACAAAUCAUGGAUACAAAUGGAAUAUCAUCAUCUCUAUGAUUGCCUCUAGGGCAUACCUCCAACAUCUUCAUCAUCCUCAUGUAUAUCACAACGUGCUAGACCAAUGAGCAAUUCUUGAUAAUAUUCUUCUACUCCUUUUUCACCUUGUUUUAAAGUUUGCAGUUUCAUACGCAAAUCACGUUGGUAAUAAGGAGGAACAAAACGAGAUUUCAUAUUGUCGUUGUCAAGAAUCACGGGUCAAGACUACGGCAAGUGAAUUUGUUUUCUAUGCGCGUAAGGCUCGGAUGGUUGCACGAGAGGACACGGGGUUUAGACUGGUUCGGGCAGGAAUAGCCCUAUGUCCAGUGUGGGAGAUAGCUCGUGUUACUCGUGCAAAGUCUGUAGUAGGGGUUACAAACGGGUGAGAGAGGGAAACUGGUCCCAAGUCUCUGUGGGUGUGCACUGAUGCUCGUGAAGAGAGAGUGUGAGUUUGGGGGUGUUCGGUUGGCUUGGGAGCUGUCCCCGUCUCGAACCCCCUGGUCUUCCUUUUAUAGCGUAAGGAGGACACAGGAGUUACAAUUGAGGUAGGGGACGAAGGGCAGUGGAGAAAGUAAACCGGGAAGUAACAGCGCAGGGAGAAGGACCGGGCCUCCGGAGUCGCCGCCUUCCCUUACGGGCACCGUAGGGAGAGGGACCGGGCCCCCGGAGUCACCGCGUUCCCUCCCGGUCUCUAUCUCCCGUCAGCAUGACCUCCAGAGGGGGAUGGCUAUUGUGGGGCCCCACCGUCGACCCUCCGGUUGGCCGUUGUAGCCGAGCGUGUGGGAUAUGUGCGGCGACCGACCGCUGUAGCCAUGCGUGAUGGUGAUGAUGUCUGGCUGCCGCAGUCGUGCACGUUGGGGAGGGCGGCUGACCUCUGUAGCCUUGCGUGCCAAUUGGGAGGCGCGGCCAACACGCCUCUGCCACCAAGCCGAGCGUGAAACCGGACGGCGCUCCCUCCUUUGUUUGGCGGCGUGGGUGAUGAGUGCCCUAUGACGAAUGUCACAGGGGAGGUUGGAUGGUGCAGCUAUAGCUCCGUGCGGUCGUGGCUACAGUGCGCCGCCUAAAAACUGUGGCGGGUCACGUCGAGGAGCGCGGGCGCCUUUCUACGCGUCAGAGCCGCAUUCCGAACAGGCGCCCCGCAGGUCACAUUUAUGGCGAGAUCGGUGGGGGCCCACGAGAUCCGUGCCCUCGUUUGCUGGACCGCGCCCGCCCUAGGGCGAGGUGAAGCCCUGUCUUGUGAGCCCAGAUGUGUCCGACCCCUUGCGCCCGAGGUUGGGCGAGGCGGAGCCUUGCGGCGAGGGGUCGGGCGCGUCCGACCCUAGGACCAUGGGUUGGGCGAGGUGAAGUGGGAUAUUUCCUGUCCGUGUCAAGUCGGCGGAGGUCCUUGUCGCCGCAGGUGGGCCCGAACCCUUAUGACCAUUGUUUAAGGAGCAUAAGGAGGUCGUUGAUAUUUCCCUCCAACACAUACAUUGUUUUGAAACAUUCCAAGUCUGAGGUACAGCAUUGGCAUUAUUAUUAUUGCAAAGAUCAUUCCACCAAAAGAGAGCAAAACCAGUAAACUCACUAGUAGCAAGCCUAACUCUAUGAUCAACAAGAACUAAAUGAGAAUUAAAUUUUUGUUCAACAGCAAGUUCCCAAUCUAAAUAAGCCUUAGAAUCAGCAUUACCAGCAAAAGGAAUCAUGGUAAAUUUAGUUUUAGCAAAAGGAUUGUUAUUACCAUGGUGAUGAUUUUUACCUCCCAUACCACGACGAUUACACCAAAGACGGUCCAUGUCACGUGCAUCAUUAUCAAGAUCAGCGUCAUCAUCAUCCUCCAGACCAUCAUCAUGAGGGGUGGGUCGGCGUGGCGGCACUGGGGUAGGUCGUUGCUCAACAUGUUCAAUCCGGAUAACCAGAAUGUUAAUGUUGCGCAUCAAGUCAUCAAACUUCCUGUCGAUGUAGGUGCACAGCAAGAAGCUUCGUAAGCUCAUCCUUGGACACAGACUCAUUGAAGUUUGAAGGGGAUUCCACUCCUUUCCCUUUCCCUGACAUGGUUAGAAGACAGCAAAAGACAACACAAAAGUAUUAUCCCUAUCAACUAGCAACUAAUGGGUGGUGGCGAAAGUGGAAAGCAAUAUCUCAAACGGCUUACUACCAUCUUGAAGUGUUCUUACCAAAGCCAACAGGGCAGUACAAUCUAUUGUCAAGCUUGGGUGUAACAGUUGCAAGGUGAACCUGUGCUGAAAGAAGUAUAUGUGGAGCUUUGGGCAGGCAUAAUAUGGUAGCAAGGAAAAAUAAUAGCCGAAGCAGAUUAGCAAAGUUCAAUAAGUAUCCAAAGUACAAGUCACAGUUGCUGGCUAAGACAUGUCCCUAGACGUAGCACAACAAGAUGGAAUGAGCGACGAUGGAUAGAAAUCAAAGAACAAGCAACCAACAACUCAUGCAAUUGUUUUAAUUCUUUUCCCUGUUUUUCCUUCCAGGAGUAGUAUGAAGCCACUUUUUUAUUUUUCUCAACUAUUUUUUAUAUUUUUCUCUGAAUAGGAAUCACACAAGAUGGAACCACAAAUAUUUGCACCUUAAACAGAUGUGUGAUAUGGUCUACAGAAAAACAGGCAUGUUUGCUGAAAACCGUGCAACAACUUAGAGGCUUGGAAACUCCCAGUUUCUAAUUUUUUUGGGAAAUCUAAGAAUCGCAAAAACACUGAAAAUGUUAAAUCAUAUGUGUAACUUUUUGUUCUGAAGAUUUGAAUUUUUUUUUGCCUCAAUCGGAGUUCCGAGCGAAAAGUUAUGCCUGUUUUAAGGAAGGUCGCCCGAAAUAGGGUUUUCGGAGAGGCACAACGUGGCUGGUAGGGCGGCGGCAGCUAAGGCAAAGUGUCCCUAUCUGUCCAACGCUGAUCACGGCUGAGCAAAGCUUCUUAGCAAGCAAUAUAGGGGCACGAACAUCCCUGGUAUGCAGCAAUUAGGUAUUCGCCAGAUGAAUCAAGAAGGGCUGCAAUGCAAAGGCGACACAAUGCGCCUUGCAACCUAUCUAGGGAUUGUGCAGUGAGAGUUCACACAAGGUGGCUAGCGGGGCAAGUCAAGUAAUGUGGGGGCUCGACUUGUUGUUUCGGUAAAGGUGGAUGGGAUAGCGGCAGAAACAAUCAAAUAGCGACAGGCGGCUGAAACUACGACCACGAACAUACUAAACCAGCAACAAGGCUCAACUACGGACACAACUCAACAAAGCGAAUCUGAAACGGAAAUUGCAAAGGCUAAAAAGGCGAUAGGACAGCGGAAAGUGUAAAUAUUUUUGGGCUUGUUGUGGACUAUAGGUGUUGGACACGAACUGAAUCUAAAGGGGAAACAUGAUAGUAUACCUCACGGGUAACCUGGAAUCCUGAUACCACUUGAUGUAGCACUGGCCCGAUCUUCCGAAAGGUAGUGAUAAAUUCAAUUGGUGGAGACUCGACGUUGACGAUUCGGGCUUCUAAUCAGACACGAUUCGAAUCCCUACAACCACUACACCACUACUCCGUUGGUUAUCAACCAAGCCCAACUUGAUUGACCUCACCGAGAAGGUUUUCCCUGCAAGCGAAUCAAAGGACACAAGCAAGAAACUAUAAACACUCAAUCUGAUAUUGCAAAUAGGAAUGAAGUAAAGAAGGGUUCAAGCUCUCAAUUCGAAAGGACUAAUCGACACAGUCGAGGAGAACAAGAACAGGGGCCCUGGAUCACUGUAAAGGACUUGUCGCCACAGUUACAACGAAUCAAUCUCAGUUUCUCAAAGGAAAACUAGAACUAAACAAAACCUGAGUUUCUAAGAUGGCGGCCACUGAGUUUAUAUCAAAAGGGGCAAACUAGGAUUGGGGGUGACCAGGAAGGGGGCGACCACAACUUGGACUUAAGGCCCGAGACAAUACAAGGCCAAGUUAUCCCAAAACUGGUGGCAUAACAUCUUAUCAUGGUCACACAGAAUGAUCCACGAACCUUCUGGAGCUAGAACCAAAACCAAAAGAAUGCCGUCAUCGUCCCCGUUCCAAAGCAUCAAAGAAUGCCUCAUUUCGAUGUCGUAUGAGGGAGAUAUGGCCAAAACCGUGCAGGGGUGUCGGCUGAAUCCAAAACGAACGCGACGACCGAGUUGGUGACGAAUUGUAACUUGGGGAAGACCAUGACUCAUGCGUGUCCAACAUGGCGAUGUUCUCAUCAGCAUCCAACUUGCUAAACAACUAGGCCGACAGCUUAAGGUUUACCUUGGUGAUUAAUGGUAUCCAUUGAAUCCAAUGUUCCGAACGCAUUGCUUUUUGAAUUCGCUGAACUUACACACCACAGUGUAAACAGCCUUGUGGGAACACCGAUUCAUGAUAGUAGAUGAUGAACUACCAUCAUCAUCGCUUGAAUCUUGUUACUCCAUCCUAGACGAGCUUGAGCGGGAUGUACGAUGUACGAUCGAUAGGUGCGGAGGCUAAAGGGUGCUGUGGGUGGUGAGCUGAGGUGGGGAACACAGGAGCCCUCUCAUACCACCGAUCAAGAACCAUAGUGGAUUGCUGGGUCGCGCGGGGAGAGGGGGUGAUGGGGCGGAUGAAGCUAGAAGACAACCUGGUACAUAUGGGACAUAUGAUACUCAUGAGGGGGGGUGGGGGGACGUGUGGGGGUUCCUCAUCCAAAAAGGUUAUGUACAAGAUCUAGCAGCAUGUACAUCAGGUGUACAUGAAUUGGGCAAGGGCUAAGACAGGCCGGUGGCCGGCCCAGGGGAUGAACGACAUCGGGCGAUUUGAGCAAUAUUUAAUUUGGUGUACAUAUCCCAUUGUGCAACGCUCACACGGAGUGGUACAGAUCAAGGACAGGCAUGCGGUAGGGGCACGUGGAUUGGGCAAGGAAGUCAAAAAAACAGUUUUUUGUCCUCCUGUACCGUCGUUGUUGGCUUUUUGCGCCGGUCAAUGCAUCUUUCCCGAAGCUCGAGGUACCUUUAUGUCCAUCACACCGAGGCCUUUUAUAUCGUGUCUGUCUAAGGGGGUGUUGGAUCCUGGAGUUAAAGUUUAGUACGUGUCACAUUGAAUAUUCGGAUGCUAAUUAGAAGGACUAAAUAUGAGUUAAUUAUAAAACUAAUUACACAGAUGGAGGCUGAACGGCGAGAUGAAUCUAUUAAGCCUAAUUAAUCCAUAAUUAGCAAAUGGUUACUAUAGCAGCACAUUGUCAAAUCAUGGACUACUUAGGCUUAAUAGAUUCAUCUCGUCGUUUUGCCUCCAUUGUGCAUGUGUUUUGUAAAUAGUCUAUGUUUAAUACUCCUAAUUAG